rnacentral:lncRNA from 1 species
UUUUUUAUUGGAUAUGGCAAACGUGUAGUCAUUUUGACUAAUAAACAUAAAUUUUUUCAUAAAUACAAGACUUAUAAGGAUCUUGGAGAUACUGAAAAUACUGAAAAAAAAAACGAAUUGGCUUUAAAACGUUAUUCCCAACAAUCGGAUUUUCGAAGAGACAUAAUAAAAGGAUCUAUCCGUGCUCAAAGACNGAAAACAGUUACUUGGAAAUUUUUUCAAAAAAGGGUGCAUUCGCCGCUUUUUUUGGAUCAAAUUGAAAAAUCAUUAUUCUUUUCUUUUGAUAGUUUAACUCUUCAAUUAUCCUAAUAUGGGUCUCGAUUUUGUACAAUACAUUAUAGGAACGAGUAUGUCCUAAGUACCUACACCUAAACAUGUUCAGUCCACAUGGUAUGUGAUACGGAAUUCGAUUCUCCUCGAGAGACUUUUCUCUUUGUCUUGAUUUUCCUCCUAUUCUUUUGCUUCUUUCUCGCCAUCUUCGAUACUUUUCUGACUUCUGAAAACGCAAUGAAAAUGUUGAAGAAGGAAGGAGAAGGCAACUAGUAUUUAUUGGAGAUCUAAUUUAUUCUUUGUAAUGUUCCAUGUAUUUGAGAGCAGCAUGGUCAUGUUAUAAAUAAGAGGAAAGAAAAGAAAAAGAGUAGAGAAUAACUAAAUUUCUUUGUCCUUUUACUAAUAAGAAAAAUCUUACUUAUGUAUAAUUUACAUAUACAAUUUAAAAAUUACAAAUAAUUUAAAUCUCAUAAAAAUAAUCAUGGACAACAAUGAACUUAUAAUAAUUAUACGAAGUUUUAAGAAGAGAAUUAUACCAAUAUUAAAUAUUAUUUUAAGGAAAUAUUAACUAUUAUCAUUAAUACUAAAUAAUUAGUAAAAAUUGUUAAAAAUUAAGAUAAAUUGAAAAUAUUGCAUUAAAUAAAAAUAAUUAAAAUAAAUAAUAUAUAAAUAAAAUAACAAAUAAACUUAUUAUUUAAAAUUUUAAAUGAAAAUUAAUAUCUUAAUACUUUAUAUAAAUUUAUUCACCAACCUUUAAUAUUAAAUCUCUUAAUAUCUCACUUCUAAAAAUCUGAGAGAAAUAACAUUGAUAUUAAAAUUAAAUAAGUACGGCUAUGAUUAUAUUAUUAUAAUAACUAAUUUUAAACUUGUGUCUAUUGAUGUUGAUUUGUUCGUUUAUUAAAAGAGACUAAGAAAUUAAAGAAAAAAUAAUAAAUAUUUUUAAGUUUUUAUAAUUAAGUUUUGAAUAUAUUCCAUCUUAAUAAAAAUAGUUUAUAAGUUUAGAAAGUUAAUAUGACUAUAAAAAUAUAAAUAGUAAAUUUUGAAAAAAAAUAUAAAAGAUAAAACGUAUAUAAAAAUAUAGUAAAUUUUUUAAAAUUAUAAAAAAUAUAUAAAAAAAACAUGUACAAUUCGACUUUUAGUAUAUGUUAUUUCAUUAUUCAAAGUACUUAAAAUGAGUCUUCAAUAUUAGAAGUGUUAGGAUAUUUAUUCUAUUUAUCAUGAUUAUAUUGUGUCUAGGAUUACUCUAAUUAUCGUGAUUAUAUUGUGUCUAGGUUAUUCUAAUUAUCAUGAUUAUAUUGUGUCUAGAUUACUUUAAUUAUCAUGAUUAUAUUGUGUCUAGAUUACUCUAAUUAUCAUGUACUCUUGUAUUAAUUUAUUAUUAUAAAUAGAAGAUUAUGAGAGGGAUCAAUCAAGCCCUCUAGAAUUAUUUUACAGUUUAAUUCUCAAGUAGAAGAAAAUGAAAAACUGCACACAAAUAAUUGAUAAUUGAUUGAAUGUCCAUCACAAGUGUUUGAUUAAUUUCUCUUCUUACUCUAGAAAAAAGGUGUCAACAUAAAGUGGUAUAACUUUCUAAUAUAGAAACUAAGGUUUUAAGAUAUGACAAAUGAUACCCUGUGCAUGAUAAUAAUUGAAAAAUCUACAAGUGCUAAAGAUAAAUUUAUUUUUUAGACAAGUCAAAUAUUAGAGUGAUUUUUAAAUAAUAGACUCUUUUGAAUUUAAAUUUUUAAUUUUACAAGGAUAUAUCAAACAAAGUAAACAAUUUUGUAAUCUUCAUUUUUCUGUAGUAUGAAUUUUGUGUUUUGGCUAGAAACAAAAUAAUUCGUUAUUUCCAUGAGAAUGCUUUUAGUACAUAAGUUAAUAGAUAUUCAAUUAUAUAUGGAAUAAACUAUUUUAUCAAAUGCUGUUAUAUUUAUUAAAAAGAAACACCAACUCAAGUAGAGGAACAUCAUAAACCACAUAUUAUAUCAUAAUGAUCUUUAUGCUACACAGAAUAUUGUGCCAUUUUUUUUACGUUUAACACGUUUAGAACAUUGAGGUGGUGGAAUUCGGAAAAUGAUGUUUUAACAAUUAUACAACCACUUAAUCAAAUGUUUUUUUUAAAUAAUAUAAUUAUGAAAAAAUUAAAUUGAGAAAACAUAAAAUAAUAAAUAUCAAAUGUUUGUAUAAAUUUAAUGAUUCAAGAUAUAAUCAUCCUUCUUUAUUUUAGAACUUUUUAUGCUAUAUUUCUUUGAUUUGAUUGUAUAAAUUUACAAUUUUUUUACAAAUUGAUAUAAAACUCUGAAUUAUUCAUUAGAACUUUAUUUUUUUAGUAUUAAUCUUUAUAAUAAUUUUCAAUUCGAUUUAUUAUAAUUAUAAUAAUAAUAAUUAUUAUUGUUAGAAGUGGACUUUCAAGCCUAAUUCAAUCCCACAAAAUCGACUUGUAAGGUGAAGUUUCUACUUACUUAUAAAUAUUACUAGGAUAAACUUUAACGAUGAUUCUAAUACCAUGUUAAAAGUGGACUUUUAAGCCUAACUCAACCUCACAAAAUCAGCUUGUAAGGUGAGGUUUGCACCCACUUAUAUACUAUGAAUUGGCUUUAUCUCUAGUCGAUGUGGGACCUCCAACAAUUAUACCUUUUCGAUUCAAUUACGACCCUUUCAGAUUAAAUUUUACAAUUAAAUCUAAUAUGAAAUGUAAGGAUUAGGGAUGGCAUAAAAGUUCUUACCUGCGAAUAAAAUCUACUACAAAUGUUUAGUACCCACGUUAAGAGGUACCCACGGGUAGUGGGUAUUUUAAUACCUACCUGUUAACGGGUCGGGUUGGGUAUCACAUUAUCCGUACUCGCAGGUACUCGCUACCCGUCUGAAAAAUGAAAUUACAAUUUUAUCCUUCGUCCUUUAAAUUAUUUUCUAAGUAGCUGUUGUAUUUUAUGUCUGUCGUGAAACCCUAAAUCUCAAUUUUUUUUCUCCUACACUCUCCUUUCAUUCACAUUACCGUCAUAGAAGAAGAGAAAAAAAAAUGAAAUUCAAUCCUAGGUUUCCUCUAGUCGUUCUCCACAUAUCUCGUCGUCUGCCAUUUUCUAACCCUUAAUUGCGAUCACAAGAAGCGCCAACCAGUCAUCUUUGUCGCGUAAAUCUCGCGAGUUCAUCAUUUUUUUCUCGCGCAACCUGCAAGAAGAAUCCAAACAGAGAUUCCAGAAAAACAAAUUGCAAACUUAAUCACGCCUCUCAAUCGCGUUCUAGGGAACAAAAAUGCAACUUGUGUCACUGCCACAUCUUGCGAAGGAGCCACCAUGAGAGCGCUGCUACAAAAGAGAAGGGGCGGAACCCUAUCAUCACGAGAGAACCUCCAACGUGGGAAAAAAUUUCUAGCAACCCUUGCGAAACAUCCUUACCCUGGUCCAAUUCGCGGCACGAGCUCUCUACAUUCUGGAAUCCUAAUUUUUUGGGUGAGAAUGAGGAUUGUCAUGUGGUAUCCUUCCUCUGCUUUUGUAGCGCACCAGAUGGGGAGGAAAAGGACAACUCUUUUGAACUUGAAGAAGAAACCCUAAAGAAGGGUUCGGGUUUGGGCUUGACCCAUUUUCAAGAAAAAAAUUAAUAAUAAAAAAGGUGAUUUGGACUUUGGACCGUUUUCAUAAAAUAAAUUAUUUGAACAUUGACCCAAUUUUGUUUCAGAAAAUUAUAUGUUUUUUUUUUUCAAUUUAAUUUAAACAUUUUUUAAAAUCAUAAAAUAUUAUUUUUUAAAAAAAAAUUACCAGUUGAAAUGAGUACCCAACGGAUAUUCGUAGAUUUUUUUUAUGCAGAUAUCCUACAGGUAACGGUUAUAUGCAGUUCAGAUUCAAACACUAGUGCAAAAACGCUGUUUAACGUCACCCAUCAGAUGUCGGUUUCGUGAAAAAUCGACGUCUAUUAUUGCACGGUGGCAUUAUCGUAAAUAUAUUGAUAAACUAGACGUCAAUUUCGAUGUUAGGCGACGUCUAUGACAUCAUAGACGUCGCACCUGCCUCAAAUUGCUUGAGGUAUGUGAUAAGACAGACAAUUCGACAUCGUCUAGAAAAGGGCACCGACGUUCCAGUCUCUGACAGGAAAUCAAACAUCAAACUGUUCAGCUCUAGACGUGGAAUAGAAGUCGGAUCCCCUGAACAAACGACGUCGACUGGGCUACAAUUAAUGUUGUUCACAAAAUUCCCAGGCGCUUAGACGUCACGUAGUCAAACAGCGACAUCUAAGGCCUAUCUGGAAGGCGGGAAGACAAAAAUCCUUCAAUUUAGACGUCGGUUCUGAACGUAAGCGACGUCUACGUUCCUGUAAUUGAUUAUUUUCACCAAAUUCGAGGGUUUUAGAUGUCGGCUAGGAGGGGCACCGACGUGAACUACCCUUACAGGAAAUCAAGCGUCAAUCUUUUCAGCUUCUUUAAGAAGAAUAGACGUCGGAUCCCGAUCAAACACUGACGUCUAUAGACGUCGGUUUCUGGUGCAACCGACGCCCAAUUUCAUUUUAAAUAAACCCCAGACCCUUCUAACCACUCAGUUUCUGAUCGCGUCUUCAUCUCUUCCCCUUUUUCUCUGCUUCUCCUCUUCUUUUACUCCCUUGCGCACCUCUACCUUGUAUCUCUUCCGGCAUUGCAUUGUAUUUUCUCAUAACGUCAUUGUCUCUGUCCUCUCCUUUUUCUCUCUUCACCUCAGGUACGUGAUUUUUCUUAUGCUUACCGUUUAAACUUUCUUUAGUUUUUUAUCGAUUAUCUUGUCGUUCAACUUAUUAAAAUUUGCCUUUUUUGUGUUAUGUUUUAGUGCACUUUUGAUCCACUCUUUGGGUAACAUAGUGCAACAUUCUCCCUUUGCUAGUUUCCUCACUAAAAGAGUGGCGAUCUUUUGAGUUUUCUAGUUCUUCCGACCCAAAAUGGAACUUGGGUUCUUGUCUACUUCUCGACAUCGUAAUUUUUUUCUAUUGCGGUUGAAUAAUUGGAAGUAGCCAUGGACCCAGGUUCGGUUUUGGGUUGAAAGCACUAGAAGAUUCAAAAGACACAAGCUUUUUUUGUGGGGAAACUAGUGAGAGGAGAGUGUUACACAAUGUUACCGAAAGCCUGGAUCAAAACUGCACUAAAACACAAAGUCGUUGUUAGACGUCUGUUAAAGCCAUGUCCGACGUCUAUAACAACAUAGACGUCGGUUAGUGUCAUUUUAAACCUCUUUUAUAUAUUCAUGUUAACGUCAGUUUAAUCAUAGGUGGACGUCUAUAUAGAGUAAUUAGGCGUCGGUGUGAGUAUAAGCAGACGUCUAUAUAGAUGUCAGUGGAUAUCGUUAACUGACGUUUAUAUGGACGUCGGUUCUGACGAAUUUCGACGUCCCAUAGACGUCACCCGUAUAGACGUCGGUUGUGAAAGUGACAUUAAAAGCCGAAAUUAACUGACGUUAAACAGUAUUUUUGCACUAGUGAAAUAUCACAUUAUUCAUGCCUGACCUGACCUAUUGUCAUCCUACUAAGAAUAUUAUGAUUAUGGAUGAUAUCUUUCCACAAACCCUUACCGUCAUUUAACACAUGCUAUAAUCCCUUUUCUUCUUCUAUUUUUUCCAAUAACAAAAAAUAACUUUUUCAAUUACUACAUUACUUUUAAAAGGGUUGUGAAAAAGUGAUUAUAUGUCAAAAACUAUUUUCCUAAUUGUAUAGUAAAUUUAAUUUACCUAUUUUUACUCUUCUUUGGUAUCGAACAAAAUCUCAUAUAAACUUUUAAUUCAUUUACAUUUUAUUUUUUUACAUUUUAUCUUAAUAACUAGAUUUUUCCGUAUGAAUUUAUUUCUUUUCUACUUGUUUAAUCUACCUAAAAUCAAAUAUAAUAAUUUAUUGAAUCAAGAUGUGUUAUUUACAUAAAAGUGAUAGUCAUAUAUGGUAGAAAUUGGAGUGCUUAGUGUAUAGAAAGGAAGCAUUAAUCCUUCCUGCAGUGUUGCACCAACCUUUAUCAAAUUCCCCUUCCUUGAAUCUGCAGUAAUAAAAAAUGAAAUAGUAGAAAGCUAUUUUACUUAACUUCAAGAAAGAUAAAAUAAAGAAAACGAUAAAUAAUGUUAAUUCAUUAUUAUCUUUCAAUAGAAUUUUCAAAUGAAGCUAAUUGGCAUCUUAAGAACAUCAUAUUGAACUUUCUUAACUUUUUUCCAAUCUUUUUAUGUAUAUAUUUCAAUGUUUGAUUCACUUAUGCCUUUAUUUACCUUUCCUUGAUAGUUAAGGCUCAACAAGUAUUCUGGCAAAUGAUUUAUGCUAUGUGAGCCUUCACUCAACCUUAGUAUAAUUAAUUAUUAACAAGAUAAAUGUAUAAUUACAUUCGCUCAAUGUUCUUACUAUAAUUAAUCAUUUUUAUUUUUAUAUCAAUGAAAUUAAAUAUAUAAUUAGAGAGAUUUUUAAGUGAAUUAACGGUUUGUCUCUUUAUUUAUGCUUGUGAAGAUUUUUAAACCAUUCUUUUGGACACUUUUUGAAGUGUAUUAAUUUUAUUUUUGAUUGCAUAGUAUAGCCUAAAAUAUAUCAUCUAUCUAAAUUCAUUUCACACGAUUUUUUGAGGUCUAUGAGACUAUUUUUGCUUCUUAUAUUUUUCUUCUAUUAUUGUUAGUGAUUGUCUAACUUAAUGCUUGAUUUUUCCAGAUGUUUGACAUAAUUGCAUGUUUCCAGAUGGCUGUUGGAUUUUUUGGCUUUUGGAGGAAUGCUCUUAGGUUAGUGUGAUUUUCUUGGUUGGUUUCAUCAUCUGAUAAUCUUCUUUUAAUAACUAUUCUAUCUUAGUUUUGAUCAACAUUUUAAAUACUGUUAGCCACUUCUAUCGUUUUGGUUUCCCAGUGGAAUAUGUGUGAUGUCUUCAUUCAUGUUUCACAGAAGUUUUAUAUUCCUUUUCUUCCCUCUAUAGUUUCCAAUCAAUGUUGCAUGUGACGUUGAAAUUCCCCUUUUGUAUAACACAUGACUGAUUCUAAUCUUUGAUAAAUUUUUUAAAUGUUUAUGCAGGUUUUAUCAUGAUGAAGAAGGAUGAUAAACGAUUCUGAAAUGUAAUGUAGUGUAGAAAUGAAAUGAAGAACAACGUUAAUGACUUUGUACUCAUAGAAAUUUUAUACAUUAUUGUUCCUAUGGUAGAAACUUUUUGUUUAGAUAUUAUUAAAAGGGUUAGACAUUAUGUUAUAUUAGAAAAUUUUGUAUAAGGUUGGAUAUUUUUUUUUUAUCUAAUAUAGUUUGAUUUUAUAAUGUCUCAAUUUAUGAAUGUUAAAUUUAGACAAAGAAUAUUUUUCUUAAUUACUUAUUACUUUUAAUUAUAUAUUAUAAAGAAAUUUCUUUAAAACUAACAACUACAUUAUAUAUGUAUUUUAGUUAGAUAUAAAACUUUUUUGUAUGUAAGUAUAUAUAAAUUUAUCUGUAUUAAAUUACAUAAGAAUUUUUUUCGUAUACGUAAGAUUAAAGUUUAUGUAGGUUUAAAUAUGGAUAGUAGCACAUACAAAUUAAAUAUUUUUUAAAAAAAAGUCACUUUUUAUACCUAUUAUAACACCAUCAAAUAUAAAAGUGAGAUUCUUUUAUACUUAUUCUAACACUAGUAGGUAUAAAAAAAAAAGUUUUUUUUAGAGGACUUUUUAUACCUGUUCUCAUAGUACUAGGUGUAAAUAUCAGACUUUUAUACCUAUUAUAAAUAGAAUAGGUAUAAUAGUAAAACUUGCUACACCGAUUCUAGAAUAGGUAUAAAAAAACGAAAACUUUCUAUACUCCUUACUUCUAUAUAUACUCAAAAACAGGUAUAAAAAGCUUUUUUUUAAGAGAUAUAAAAAAAAAUUUACACUAGUGAUAAUUACAUAUGAAUUUUUUUAUGUGUAAUUAAAUAUUGAUUUUUUCGUAUGUAAUUUAUUUAUAACGAUUUUACAAAUAAAUUUUUGUUUGUAUAUAAUCCAUAUAUAUAUAUAUAUAUAUAUAUAUAUAUAUAUAUAUAUAAUACUAUUUUAGAUACAAAUUUUUAAAGUUAUAUAUAAAUUUUGACCGUAACUAACAUGGAUUUUUCUUAUAGUAUAUAUAUAUAUAUAAUAUCUAAAAUAUAUGAAAACAAAAUAAUUGAUUAUAUAUAAUAUUUAAUUAUACUUUACUUUAUUCUAAUAUUUCUCCAAAGUUGGAGAAUAAAUGUUGAUGAUAAAUAGAAACUAUGAAAGAUUGUAUGAAGAAGGAGCUUUGUGAAUAUAUAAGUUAUUUGAUUUUCAAUUAUGCCAUGAAUGUUUGAACAAGUUCAGCUAUAAAAUAAUAGAAAAAAUCUAUAUGUUUGGGCUUCUCAUGACCAAAGGAUUAGAAGAAAGGUGUGUGGCGAUUUGUUAUUGCACAAGAGCAUAGUUGUGUCAAUUGAAACUUGAUUGCUUGAGUAAUCACUGAUCUUAUUCUAUUAAAAACUAGUAACAGCUACUCGAGUUUGCAUUAGCAUAUAUUAUUGAAAGAUGAAGUUUAUUGUUGGUGUGGUAAAAAAGAGACCUGAACAUGGAAUAUGGACUUUAAGUAAUGUAACAUGUCAUCAAUUGUCACUAAAUCUAUGGUUAAUGGAUUAUGAAUAUUGACUAAACUUAUAAAUUACAAAAAAAAAAAAAAAGUAAUGUUUGAUCUAGAAAUGAACAAGUACAGGAGCCUUCCAAUUAAUCUUCUAUACAAAGGGGUCCUUAGUGUUGAAAUAUAUUUUAUAUAAUUUAAAAAUAAAUAAUUAAAAUAGAAUCCUAUUAAUACUAAUGUUUUUAUACAAUAUUAUAGAUGUAAUUGCUAUUUAUGGAUAAACUAGUUUUUAAAUUUAUUUUAUUGAUUACAAACUGUUUUAUUUUAAAAUCAGAUUUAUUAUAAUUGACUUCUAAAUCUCUCUCUAUCACUUAUUUGAAUGGGUAAAAGACACAACAAGCAUAUAAACUUAUAGAGUGUUUCCAAUUUUCUACUAUAUAUUAUCUUUAAAGACAUUGAUAUUUAUAUGAUUCUGAGAUCCUUCAUUUUACUCGAUCGACUGUUGUAUUUUGGGAGAAAAAUGCAUUUAGUUUUGUUUUGCCUAUAUAAUGGAGACAUUUUCUCUACAAGGAGAGCUUUGUAUGUCUCAAGACAGACUAUUUCUAUUCAUUUCUUCAAUUAUAAUUGUAUCAAUUUUUGUUAUUAUUUUUUUGACUUAAUCUUAAAUUAUUUGUAUCUUUGCUUUAUUCUUAUACAAUUAUUAUUAGUUAUUUUGAUUAUUUUCCUAACAUUGGUAGAGAGGAAAAUAUUUUUAUUUUACUUUACUCAUCAUUAUUCUUUUUAUUGCAAAAGUUAGAGACAAUGUUCUAUAAUAUGUUUGUAAUGGAUAUGAUUAAGUCAUUCUUAAGUAUACUUGAAAAUUUUGUGGAUAAAAUUUAUUCUUCUACUAGUACCAACAAAUAAAACUUUUUCUCAUUGAAAUAUGGUUAUGUGUUUUUCUGAUAUGUAGCACUACUAAUUAAUUUGUUAUGAUGUUUGUGAUAAAGAUAUUUGAUGUCUUGGACAUAUUUUAAGUGUUUUGUCGAAUAAUAUUUAUAAAAUAUUUUACCAUACUAAAAUUGUUGUUAAAUAAUAGGAAACAAUUAAAUUGAAAUAUGAGUUUGUUGAAAAAUUUUAUAUAAAUAUUCUUGUGAAAAAUAUUGUUGAAUUUGAAAUAAUUAACAAUAAACUCUUUUUACAUCUGAUUCAUGAAUUUAAAAAUUUUGUUUUUAUUACAUCAAAUUAAAAGGAAUUGUUUAAAUACAUACUUAUGAGUUUUAUCUUUUAAAAUUGUCUCCUACAUGGUACAUGGUCUGAUUGUACUCAAAGUUUAAAACAUAAGCCUAAAAAAAAAUUAAUAUGUUGAUUAUGUGUCUUUGUGUUGAGGAAUAUAAUUUUUAUUAUUCAAGUUUUUUACAAUUUUUAAUAUAAUUACAAACCUAAAAUUAAUACUAUUACUAUAGGUUUUGUAUAUGAUUUACAUGUGAAAGGCAUGUCAUUAAUCAUGAGUUAAAUUAUGUUUUUAACUCAAACUAUUGGUUUAUAGACUAAGAGGCUAAUGUUUAUUUGGAUGCUAAUAAAAGUUUAUUUUGUUUACACUAGAAAUAAAAGAAAAUAUAUUUUGUUAUUAUUAAGUGAUUUUUAACUACAAUAGCAUUAUUAUUACUAGACAUGGUGUUUUUCUUGUUAAAAAAAUAUAUUUGUGAUAAUUUUAUUUAAGUUAAGGCUUAACCUUUUAUCUUAGAAGUUUUUCUUUGAGAUGUGACAUGUUGAAAUCUUAUUUGAUUAUAGUGGUAAUAUUUAAUAUAAUUUAAAAAGUACAUAAUCAAAAUAAAAUCUUAAUAUUACUAAUGUUUUUAGGAAAUAUUAAUUCUAGAUGUAAAUUUUAUUUAUGGAUAAACGGUUUUUUGCAUUUAUUUUAUUGAUUAUAAAUUAUUUUAUUUUAAAAUCAAAUUUAUAUUACAAUAGGUUUCUAAGUCUCUCUUUUCUAUCUAUAAAUACUACUUAUUUGUACUAUUAAAAGGUAAAAAAAAAAAAAAAAAAAAACAUCAAUUGAUAAACAGUAUUUUCAAUUUUCUUUUCUAUAUUGACUUUUAAGAUGUUGAUUUUUAUAAGGUUUAGUGAAUAGAAGUGUCUUCUCUGUAAAAAUUGUAUUUGGUAUGUCUCAACCCAAACUAUUUCAAUUUGUUUAUUUAAUUAUAAUUGCAUUAUAUUUUAUUUUAUUAUUUCAACUCAGAAUUAUUGACAAAUUAGAAAAAAGGAAAAGAUUUAACGGUUAAAUAUUAAUGAGUCAGAAAUCAAUAAAAAAAAAACAAUUGUAACAUCAUAUUCAAUAUUUUCUGACUAAAUAUUGCUAUGAAGUUAUCUACUAUUAAUCAUCACCUGCACUUUAUUUCUCCAUUAAAAACCUUUUAAAAUCUGACUUCAGUUCCAAUCAAAGAGUCGCUGUUGGUAACUUACGUGCACAUAUUUCCUAAUCUCAUUGUUAUUUUUAGUUUUACAUACAUCAUUUUUCAUUGUGAAAAGGUAUUUUUCACGAUAUUUUUAGUUUUUCAUCUUGUCAGCAUUUUUCACGACCUUUUUAAACUAAUGUGUGUGUACUUUUCAAUUGUCUGCCACCAAAACAUAAAUUUCCAAAUCAAAUUACGAUAUAUAUAUAUAUAUAUAUAUAUAUAUAUAUAUAUAUAUAUAUAUAUAUAUAUAUAUAUCAGAAUUUAUCCGGCUGACAAGUUAGAAUUGUUCUACACAUUUAAAUGCAUUGGCAACACCGCUUAGGCGAAUUAUAUAUAAUCGGUACCAUGUUGGUGAAACUUAAAUUUCAGAUGCAAAAUGAAUUCAAUGAAGAGAAAAAUGAGGUUCAAAUCAACGAUAAAUCUCGAAUUAGACUUAUUGCCUUCUGGGUUCAUUUCAGUUUAGGUACGAAAUGUCUAUUACUUAGGAAAAGUGACUUUUUUUUUAAAUAAUUUAUUUGACUGUGUGGUUUGAUAUCUAUAUAACCUUGAAGUUCAACAAUGGCUUGUAGUGCACAAAGUUCCAAUGUUUUACAAGGAACGAAAGCUAUCCUUAUAAUGAAUAAUAGUCUUUUAUUUAAAAUUUUGAAUUUCAGAAAAAGUCUGAAAAUUUCGACAUUGAUGGUUCGAAAGGUUUAGAACAUAGUUGGAAUGUAGAUUAUGAGAAUUGUACGGUAUUCUUAGAAAUCCUUCUUUCAAUGUAGGGAAUCAAACAAUAUGUUAGAAAUUCAUCUUCCAUCUUGUUUCUGAUUCUAUUUUUAUCAAUCUUCAUGUAGCAAUUAAAACGGGUACCAAUCAAUCAAUCAAGAGAUAAGUAAAAUAGUUAUUUGUUUUCACCUAUCCUUAGCAUAUCUUAGAAAUUGUUAAUAGAUUUCUCAUUUUAGAAUGAAAUAGAACAUCAAGUUCAUAAUGUUGAAUUUGUAUUAUAAGAUGUAAUUUUUCCCAUUAUGUAAAAUCAUCAAGAUUAAACUUUAUUUCCAAUUGACAACGGUUGAUUACAGUGUUUUUAUGUGUAUAUAUUGGAGAAUAAAUCGAAUCCUACAUAGUUUUUACCUUUUUUUAUCUCUAAGUUUAAUGUGUUUUCAUGAUUACUUAUGUUUUACUUAGUAUAUGUUUGUUUUUACUUUUAAUCUAUUUGUUUGAGUGUGUGAAAUAAAUGAAUAGGAAGCAAUUCUAGUAUAAGAAAACAAGCAAGAACUGAAGGGAACAUGUUUUGGGACAAGAAAAGUUCAAUUUAAAGCAAAUACCCAUAUUAAACACUUUUGGAAUCAUGCAAGUGAUUAAAUUUCAAAAUGGUGUCAAAGUGUCAAGGGGCUGAGAGGGGGCCUGAGUGUGACAAGGCCAGGUGCAACGAGUUAGGUGCCCCCAGAAAGGGGGCCUGAGCGUAAUAGGGCCAACUACAACAGUGUUGAGCACCCCAGAAGGAGAGGUUCUUAAGCCUUAGAAUGUCAAGAAGAAUGGCAUUGAGCGUCCCAAAAAAAGGGCUUGAGCGGUGACAUUGCUAACAUAUCAAAAUGGAUUAUUUAAGUUUUUUGUUGCGAGGUUUUAGGGAUUUUUCUCCUCCUACACUUCAUUUUUCACCUAGAGUAACUAGGAGAGGCUCUUAGAGGCUGUUUGGAGUGCUGGGAAGCUCUCCCUUCUCCUCUUUGAGCUUCAAUCUUCAUCAAUAGUGAUUUGUCCACUUUUGAGUUAAGGAAGAAGAUCGAUCACAAAUUGGAGAUAGAGAUGCGAAGAGAAAACACAAUUGGAGCAUGGAACAACUACAAAGAACCUUGGAAAAGACUGUGCACCUCCCUAUGGUUUCAAUUUCUUCCUUAUCUCUUCAAUUUUGUAGAACCUUAAGUUCUCCAUCAUGAAAAACAUUUCCUAUUUGUUGAGAUUAAUUAUAAAACAUGGAAUUCUUAUGUAUUUUGUGAUGUUAAUGAUAUUGCAAGUCACAAGGGAUGAGAUUGUGUGUUUGGCCUCCACUAUUUUGGUUCUUAAUGCAAGUUUUGAUACACUUUUAGGCCAGGGGAUUGGGUAAGGUGUGUCAAACUUGGAUAGGUUCAAUAAGAGGGAUCUGAACGUUUUUACCUUAGAGAACAAGAAAAGUAAUAUUCAUCACCUUAUGAGAGUACUGAGUGAUCUUGCAACAAGAGAGAUCUGAGUGAGGUUAUUUGGGAAAUUUAUUCUAAUCAUUCUUCAUAUUUGAACUGUUGUUUGGUUGGUGUGCUUACGUUCUCCUAUUUUUAUUUUCGUAUUUUCCUUAUUUCUUUUUUUGUGUUUUUCAUUUUUCUAUUUUACUUUUCUAUUUUUUAUUUUUAUUUUUAUCUUUAUGUUUUUCAAUCUUAAUUUUCAAAUCUUUGUUUCUAUAAAAAAUUCGAGUUAAUGAGUUUGUUUGAGUUUCUUAGUGUUCUUGUGAGUGAUAGGUAUGACUGUUGAUACACAAGGAGCUGAGGAAUUUGAACAAUAACUUAGUCCGCCCACAAAUUUUGUUUUUUUCUUUUCCUACUUGUUAAUAAUAAGUGUGACUUGAGUGGUCUGACAAAUAUAAUGCAUUUGGUGAUGUUACCGUCAGUGUUUAAUUUUUAGCUCAAAUAAAACACUUUCAUAUAAACAUUAGAAAUCGUCCAAUUAGUUGUAACCAACAAUACUCAUUCAAUUCACAUUACUUAAAAUUAAAAAGUUCAUAAUAAUAUAACUCAGAACUACUUUAAUAAAAACUCAAAUCCAUAAUUAUUUAUUCCAACACAAUAUAACCAUAAUAUUGGUUAGAUAAUUCUACAUAAAGUCUAUAUAUUAUUGAAAAUGAGAAUUAUAUAUAUCAUACUUAUACUAUUCAAAAGUUGUAUUUAGAAUUGACUAAUUUUAUAAUUUAUUAUUUAACAGAAAUGAUGUAUAUUUAUGUUUAAAAUUAUUGUUGGAAUUCUGUUUAAAAUAAAAUGAUAAUGGUUGAAAAUCCAUAUUAGAGUGUUGGAUAAUGAAUAUGCAAUAUCCAAAAAGCUAUUUGAACGUGUAGGAAGGAUAAAAAAUAGAUGCAAUCUUUUGCUUUGCUUGUUGGUAACAUGUCAAUCAUCUUAUUGGGGGAGGAAAUGUGACCCACCACUCACCCAGUAAUUCAUUCCUCAUUUUCCUUUUUAUCAAUGUUAUCCUAAUCCAACCAAAUCCAAAUCCUUCUUCUUUUACCUUCAUUUCUUUUCUCUUUCUCUUACUUCACAUUAACUCUUAAACUAUUACAAUUAUUUCAUAAAUUCAAAGAAAAAACUAAUUAACAUAAUCGCUUAAGAUUUAUCAUUUCAUUUCCAACUUAAAUAUACAAUUAAGACGGAAAGCUAGCGUAUUAUUUUACUCAAAAUACUAAAUUAGUUAAAUAACAUUACUUAACUAAUUAAUUUUUCCACUUAUAUUCAUCACAUGCCACCCAUCAUGAAGGAAAAGAAUACUAAGGUUGACGAUAAUGGAGGAGAAGAUGCCACGUGAGCAAACGUACAAUAGAAAGAAAUCUAAUUCUUCAAAUAACGUAAACUAUUCAGUUUGGUUCUUUGCUAUCCAUUAACAACAACACUUUAAGAAGAAGAAAAAAAAAGCAACUUGCUUAAUUAUUUAAUAUAUCAUUAGUUAACGUUAAUCACAAAUGCUUAAGCAAAUGAUGAAUAUUGUAAGUGAGCAGCCCUCAAAUAUAUUACGUACCGAAAGAUGAAUAUUAUUCUUGAUUCUUGAUAGUGAUAAAAAAAAAAGUAAGUGAUAAAGACUAGGUAGGUUAUAAAGGAUAAGAAUGAUGGAGUGAAUAUAGCCGUUUCACCAAAAAAAGGAAAACAAAAGGAAUGAAAUAGCUGCAGGAAUAUUCUUUGUUUUUUUUAGUACUGCAAAAUAUUUAUUUUCUUUUUACACAUGCCUUUCCAAAUAUAUUUCUUAUUUGCUUUAAUCUUUUUCUUCUCCCUUUUCAUUCUUCCUUCUUCCCAAUUUUUAUGUUUCGUAUUCAUCUUUAUGUGGAAGUACACAUAAUUCCACAAUAAAGGAUUUAUUUAGAAAUUUUUUUCUAAAAAUUAUUUUCUAUAUUUUUUAAUUCAUGAACAAGAUAACAUGGAAAACUUAAGUUUAUUUUUUUCAAAAUAUUGAAGAAUGUCCUAUAGUAUAUCAAGAGGCAUGACAAAUCUAGUAUGAAAAAUAUUCAGAAAAAAAAAUUAAAAAAAAAUUAAUCAAAUGAGAUUUUAUUCAUAAAUAUCACUAUAAACCCUUAGAAACACAUUUUUACAAACUUUCUUCAUAAAAACCAUUAUAAUAUGAUGAAAAAUAAUUAGAAGGUCAUGAAGGAAUUUAUGAGUCCAACUAAAAUUCUAAGAUUUCCCAUUAUAUAUAAAUACAUGAGUAAAUUUACCUUUGAAAAUAAUAGUACGUAAUACCUUUACAAUUUUAGAUAAACGUUAAAUUUAAGCAACUUUCUUUCCACAAAAUCAAGUUUAUUAAAAUACCACUAUACGGGAGAAAACAAAUACAAGUUGGUGUUACAUUUGGUUAAACAUUUAGAUAAAAAAAAAAGUCUUUUAUAUUUUUUUUUCGGAAGAUAUUUCAUAAUUUUAAAUAUAUAUUAUUUUUGAGAUAUAUAAUUACCAUACAUUUUUAGGCAUAUUUUUAAUUUUUUUUCUUUCUAAUCUGAUCUUGCACAAUAUAUCCAAAUCUUUUAUCACAAUUAAUCAUGGUAUUUAUUAUUAUUAUUAUUAUUAUUAUUAUUAUUAUUAUUAUUAUUAUUAUUAUUAUCGAAGGAAAAAAAAGAAAGAUAAAUUUAGUAAUAUGAUGAGGAUGGAAAUUUGUCAACUUAAGUUGAGCUUAGCCUAAACCUAAUGAUUGUAAAAAAAUUGUGGCCAAGAUUGUCUGUAAAUUAGUUUAUGGUAUGACUUGGUCUUUGUAUAAGAAUGAGCUUCCUUGAUAGCAUGUUUAUUAAGGUUUUAUAAACAGUUCAACGAAAACAUUCUUAAAUAAACCAAUUAACUUAUUAGUUAACGAAAAUAUCAUUCAAAAGAUCAAUAAAUUUAUGUGUUAACAACAAAUUUACCGUUAAACAUAAUAAAUUUAACGAACUAACAUCUUUUGCAUUAAACACUUCAAACGACAAAAGAAUAUGUAUUACAUUCAAAACGAUUCCAAAUUAAAAAUAGUGUUUUAAUUCAUAAUUUAUAUAUUUAUAUUUUAUUGAUUACACAUUUUAUUUAAAAAUAAUAAUUUUCAAAAUAAGCCAACCUGUCAAGCACAAUGAACUUUUCUAAAAUCCCACAGUUCCGUAAAAAAUAACUUUUUAAAAAGUAUGAACUUUUGCUAAAGAGAUUAACCCCUUCAUGAACGGUCUAUCUUAUUUUCUCUUUUAAAUAUAAUAAAAAAAGAGGGUAAAAAUAUUAAUAUACAUUUUGACAGAUAUUUUAUUAUCCAUCUUCUUAUUCCCGAAAUUAAUUUCGCAGCUAAGCGAAAAUUGACAUAAAACAACUUUCAGAAUUUAUUUAUUUUUCAAUAAGAUAUAAUUUGCAUAAUGUUUUUAUUAUAUUUUCAAAUAAUAAUAAGUUAUAAAGAAUUUAUCCUAAUUUGUGUUUUUUUUUUUUUGAUAAAAAUAGGUCUGAGAUGAGUCGUAUACUUUGACGCUUGACCAGUCCACUACACUUCCUCUCAUGAUAUUUCACCUUACGCGGCUUCCUACUGUACCCAAAGAGUACGCCUUACUUUUCCAAUUUUCCCAUUUUCUUUCAUAUUCUUCUCUAUAAUUAUGGUAAAACCCCACAAUUUUUAUCUCUUCUUUAAUGGAAAAUACUUAAAAUACACUUAAUUUAUUUUAUAUCUUAUUUCUACCUUAUUUUCCCCUUUGUUAUGUUUAUUACUUUUCACAUUCUAAUAGAAUAUUCCCAUUUAUCAUUGCUAACUAAAUUGGAUUUAAUUUUAUAGAAAGAAAAUAAAAUUGAGCGAGUGGCAAUAGUGACAGAACACGUACAACCUCCGAAGGCGUGGGGAGAAAUUAAUUUUUUAUUUUGUUUUUUACAAGGAAAUUAACUUUAGUCUUUUAGGUCCCACUUAUUUCCUCAAAAUCUUCUGAACUUUCUUCUUCAACCUACAUCAUUUCGAUCACUCACUCAUACUCGCGCAGCCAUUUUUUUCAGUUAUCAAAAUCACAAAUUUCUCUUUUUAUCUCUCUCUCUCUCUCUCCCACCACCGUCCAUUCUCUCUCACUUCCUCCUAAUAUAAAUUCCAUGCACAAACCCAAACAUCAGUUGUAAGAAACACACACAACAACAUAAGUGUCUCUAUAACAAUGACACUCUCUGUAACACCAACUUCCCAACCAAAUACUUCACCUUUCUCAAAACCCAACUUCAACCCAACUUUCUCACAUGCCACCACCCCAACCUUACCCUUCAACAAGUCCCAACUCGCUUGGGAGCGCCUCAGGACUGACUCACUUGAAUCCAACUCACCCCGACUCGGUCACAAGUGGACCCAAUACCAAGGAAUCAACCACUGGGAAGGCUUGUUAGACCCUCUUGACGACAACCUACGCGCCGAAAUCCUAAGAUACGGCCACUUCGUAGAAUCCGCAUAUCGCGCUUUCGAUUUCGACACCAAUUCCCAGACCUACGCCACGUGUCGCUUCCCUGAAACAUCACUCUUGGCUCAGACCGGAAUGCGAAAAUCCGGUUAUAGAGUAACCAAAAACUUACACGCCACAUGCGGCGUUCAAUUACCCAAUUGGGUUUCUUCCGUGUCGCAACUGCCACGUGCUCGAUCCAGUUGGAUUGGUUACGUAGCAGUCUGCGAAGACGAGAAGGAAAUUACGCGCCUGGGUAGACGUGACGUGGUGAUUGCUCUUCGGGGAACCGCCACGUGUCUGGAAUGGUUGGAAAAUCUUCGUGUUACCUUGACAAAAUUGCCCAACCAUAUGGGUUGUGGAAGCGACGAUUGCAUGGUGGAGAACGGUUUUUUGAGUCUCUAUGUCUCCAAAACGGGCGCGUGUCCCAGUUUGCAAGACAUGGUUCGGGAAGAGGUUGCGAGAGUGAUCCAGUCUUACGGCCAGGAGGAGCCACUCAGCAUAAGUAUAACCGGUCACAGCCUGGGAGCCGCACUCGCGAUUCUCAGCGCGUACGAUAUAACCUCUACGUUCAAAAAUUCGCCAAUGGUGUCUGUGGUUUCCUUCGGUGGGCCCCGGGUCGGUAACGAUAAGUUCAGGGCCCAGUUGGAAAAGAGUGGAACCCGAAUACUUAGAAUUGUGAACUCCGAUGAUGUAAUCACAAAAGUUCCUGGACUUGUGGUUCCAGAUGAUGACAUGGCGUGCAGUGGCCAUGUCCACGUGGCGGGUUUGCAGAAUUGGUUCCGUAAGGUUGUUCAGGACAUGCAGUUGGUAUACGCUGACGUUGGACAAGAGUUGAGAGUGAGUAGCAGGGAAUCAGCGUAUCUGAAGAAAGGAGAUGUAGCCACGUGUCAUGAUCUUAAGACUUAUCUUCACUUGGUUAAUGGUUUUGUUAGUUCUUCCUGUCCUUACAUGAGCAAAACGACGCAGUAUCCGGCCGAAGCUUCAUUCUGAUUUUUAUUUUUGUUAUCAUGUGUAUAAUUCUCACAAGAUCAGUCCAUUUUAACUGUGCAUAAUUAAGACUAAUGCGACGAUAUCUACUAUCUCACAAUGACCAUGAAAAGCUUCUGGGAGCAUUUGUUUCACAUACCACAAGAGAAAUGAAAGAGAAAAGUUGUCAUCUGAAAGUAAAAAUAAAUAAAUAAAUAUAAAUUAUUUACCUUUUACUCAAUAUAAAUUAUUUUUGACUCAAAAAAAAAAAGGGCGAAAGGGUCAUUUGGUGUUAACAGUACAGUUCCUGAAGGUCAACUUUCAUCUUCCAUUUGUUCUUGUUUUUGUUUACUUUCUUCUUUUCCAUAAUUUUUUUGUGGCCAGAAUGAAAAGAGUAAAGUAGAAGACACAUUUGGAUGUUUUAUUUUGGAAAGGAAUCAAAUAUUAAAGGACGAAUUGUAUAUUUAAUGAAUUAUAUAUCAUUUAAAAUAUGUUUUAUUAAAGUUAAAUUAGAAUUUGAUGAUUUAUAAAGUGAAAAAAACCUUGGGAUAAACUGCAUGCGUCUUGAAUAAUGCGUGUCCCUUAUGCAUUGUCACUCUCAAAUCCUGAAAGCUCAAUUAUGAUUCCCAUAAAGAAACAUUGUACAGUGCACUGCACUACAUUUAUCAGUGUGACAUCAUAUGCACAUAAAAUUUGAUGCAAACAAAGUUUUGAACUGGUAAUCUUCUUCUUCCUCUGUUCAUUUCAUGGCCACUCUACUGUUAUUUCAGCCACCUUCAACACCUACGUCAAGUUAACACUUCCUACUGACUCUUUUAUAUAUUUUUAGUAAAUUACUUACAGAUAUUUUCUCUUCUUUCUGUAUUUAUCACACCUUUUAUGUACUCACAUUUUCUUUUUCUUCUGUUUCCAAAAAUCUUAGCCAUCAAGAGUGACGCAAAAAAGUAUAACAAUUAUAAAGAUAUAUUAUUUAUUCUGAACACUGAGGAUGUUGAGCCAAUUGGAAACAACCACCGGAAAAUAAAAUAGCCUACUUUUGGAUGUUAAUAUUUUAAGUUUAUCUUUACAUUCAAGAUCAACAUUUUAAUCUUUUUCACUACAAGAUUCUCUUAUUUUAAGAAAAGUAACUUAUAUUAUUUUUACUUUUUCUUUAAAAAAAAAAUAUCAAAGUUCCAUAUUUAAUUCUUAUUAGUAAACCAUUUCAUUCUUAAAAAUUAUUUUUUUUAAAUGAUCAAAUGUUAACUACUAAAAAAAAUGUUCUUAAUAUAGACAUUGCCUUAAUAUAUCUUCCUCCGAAAAAUAUCCAGUCCAAAAUGUUUUAACUUAGUCUAAAAUGUUUUAUUUGUAAAACUUAUCCUUAUUCAUAUUUUAGUUUACCAUUAACUUACGUAGGUAUUUAAUUUGAUGUUAGAAUACAAAAAAUUCUAUUUCACCUUUUUCUAUUUUUUUUUUUUCAUUUUACGUUUUUGUUUCCCCUCUUUAUAUAUAUAUAUAUAUAUAUAUAUAUAUAUAUAUAUAUAUAUAUAUAUAUAUAUAUAUAUAUAUAUAUAUAUAUAUAUAUAUAUAUAUAUAUAUAUAUAUAUAAAAGUUUGUUAUACAAGCUAUAAAAUAUAUAGUUUUUAAGUUUUUUUUUAUCUGUUUUCCUUUAUUUGAAUUCAUAUAUUUGUUGAUGACAUUUUGAUUUUCAUCAUACUUAUAUGUAUACACAUGUGUAGUUUCACACAUCAUUGAAGCAUACAAUUUGUUUCCACAAUAAUUUGUCUAUAAUGAUAUCAGAGUCCUUUUUUUGAAGAGCUCUGUUACGUCAACUCUAACCACUCUUCCUUUCUUUUUUUUUUGUUUUCUUUUACUUCUUUCACAGUUUCUUGAGUAAUGUCUGAAGAGUAUAACAAUUCUUCUAGUUUCUUGUAUCUUAAUCCUAGUGAAAGUCUUGUCAUUUCUCUUGUGUCUCCUCUCUUGAAUUAAACAAUUAUAAUGCAUGGAACAAGUCUAUCUUUAUUGUAUUGAGUGCUGAAAACAAGGUCCAACUAGUUGAUGGAACUACUAUCGAACCGCACAAGGAGGACGCCUCUUUCAAUGCUUGAAAGAGGUGUAACAACAUGGUGGUGUCUUGGUUGGUUCACUCUAUCUCAUUGAACACACAAUACAAUAUUCUCUAGAAGGAAAGUGUUCAAGUCAUAUGGGAUUACUUGAAGUCCAUAUUUUUUCAGGGAGAUCUUUUACAUAUUUUAGAAUGAAGCUGGUUCAUUAAGAUUGGGAGAUAAUAUUGUUACAAAGUUUUUCACCAAACUCCACGUUAUAUAGGAUAAACUCGAGAGUUUAUGCCUUGAACCAAUGUGAUUGUGUGAAGUAAAAUGUUCUAGCAAGAUGAUUUCAAUAAUUGCACAAAAAAAACAUGAAUAUCAUCCAUUUCCUCGAGGUUUGAAUGAGCAAUAUGGUAACAUUCAAUAUUGUGUCCUUUUAAUUGAUCUCAUACCUUCCAUUUCAAAUAUUUUCUCAUAUGUUAUGCAACAAGAAAGACAAGUGAUGGGUAACUUUCUUAAUGGUGUAUAAAUGAAAGAUGAUGUUGCCAUCAAUAUUGUCACAUGCUCACAUUGUGGUAAAAUUGGUGACAGUGAAUAUAUUUGUUUUAAGAAACAAGGUUUUUGUAUCCAUAAGAAUCCAACAAAUAGAAAGUUGUGUUCCAAUUGUGGCAAAUAUGGUCAGACAGUUAUAUGUUCUAUAGAAAGCAUGGAUUUCCUCUUGGCCAAAAAUUUCAUAAUGGAAAAGGUUUCUUAUCCAAAAGUCAAGAAUUCAGAAGUCAAGAAUCCAGAACUGAUAGCCAAAGAGAAGCUCCUAAUCUUGAGAUGCGCCUAACACAACAAAAAUACCAAGCUCACAUGCCUCUUACCAAUCCUAUUAGUGACAUAGGAGCAACACCAAAUAUUUAAAUCAGUUCUAUAGUCUCUCAAUCUCCUAAUAUAGGUAAAAACAUUUUUAGUUUUAACUCAUAUGAAGAUAAGGGUAUUGUUUCCUAGAUCCUUGAUUCUGGUGCAACAUAUCAUAUUGUCUCUUCUCAUAAUCAUUUACAUUCCUAUGAAAAUAUUUUCCCUAUUAUUAUCAAUUUACCUAAUGGAAUAACGAUAAAAGCCACCCAUAAAAAAAUAGUUCAAAUUUGUGAUAAAAAUCCUCUUAAAAGAUAUUCUCUUUAUUCCAAAUUUCUGUUAUAAUUUCCUCUAUUUAUCUAAAUUCGUUGUACAUAAUAACAUACGCAUUACAUUUACUAGCAUUACAUUUACUAGCACAAUCUGUUUUAUUCAGAAUUCAACAAUAAACAGCAAGAUUGGUUCAGUUGAUUCAUAUGAAGGCUUAUACACUUUUCAUGGCCACAAUAGCACAUCUUACCUAUCUAUCAACUCUGCCAUCAAACAUCACAUAUGCAAGAUUGACGGUAAAUUCUUUGGCAUAAUCGUUUGAGCCUCAUGUUUGAUAGAAGAUUAGAUAUCUUGAAACAGAAAUAUUCCUACAUUGACUAUAGAACAAAUACUUGUAUUCUUAUGCUUCACAUGCUUUUGAUAUUAUCCAUUUUGAUAUUUGUAGACCUUGCUCCAAUGUUUCUCUACAUUCUCAUAAAUAUUUCUUAACCAUUAUUUAUUUUUAUACUUGGUACACCUAGGUGAAUUUAAUGAAAAAUAAAUCUGAAACCCUUUAGCACAUCCUUCAUUUCAUUUCUCAUGUUAAGAAUCAAUUUAAAACUAGUUUAAAGAUCACUAGGUUCGAUAAUGGCAUUGAGUUUACUGUGCAUGAUUACUUUAAUUCUAAAGGCAUAAUUCAUUAAAUUUCUUGCAAUGGAACACCUCAAUAAUGAUACAGUUUAAAGGAAACAUCAACAUCUCGUAAGUGUCACUAGAGCUUUACUUUUUCACUUUAAAAAUUUUGUUCAAUUAUGCACUUAUGCUAUAUAUUAUGCUACUAUCCUUAUCGAUAUUAUGCCUACAUCCUUCCUAAAUAAUGGUUCUCCAUAUGAAAAUCUAUAUGAGAAGGAUUUUGAUAUUAAUAGACUUAAAGUUUUUAGUUGCCUCUAUUAUGUCAGCACCAUUCAAGUAAAUCGACAAAAACAUGAUCCUCGUGCCAAGUCUAACAUCUUCCUUGGCUUGAAUCCUAUUACCAACGGCUACAUUACAUAUGGUCUUAAAAAUAAUGAUAUCAAAAUAUCUAGAAACAUUUUUUAUGAAAAUGAUUUUCCUGACAAAACCUCUACUACUAAUAACAAUCCACAUUUAUCUUUGCCUUUACAUGAUAAUAAACUCUUUUAUCAUAUGACCAAUCUCAUGAUGAAAAUACUAUUUCUGCCCAUUUAUAUAUGACCAAUCUCAUGAUGAAAAUACUACUUCUGACCAUUUAUAUGUUAUCGAUGAUGAGGAACAUAUAGAGAAUAAACUUCCUUCCCCUAGACGGUCCACUAGAAUAAGAAACCCACCUGCAUAUCUGAAGGAUUUUCAAAUAUAUUCCUUUAGCACAACUAAUACAAAAUACCCCAUUGAUAAUGUUCUAAUUAUCUCUUGCAUAAAGGCUCGCUUAAUAGCCAAGGCUUACACUCAAUUAAAGGUCAUUCACUACUUUAAAACCUUCUCUUAUGUGGUCAAACUCGUUAGCAUACGCUAUAUCAUAACCUUAGCCUUUACAAAGAACUGGCAUCUAAGAAAAUUAGAUAUAAAUAAUGCCUUCUUACAUGGUGAUUUGCAUGAAGAAGUGUACAUGCAAUUGCCAUAAGGAGUCAUUACACCGGAUAAAAAUCAAGCUUGUCUUCUCCACAAAUCACUUUAUGACUUGAAACAAGCUAGUCACCAAUUGUAUGACAAAUUAUCCUUUUUUCGUAUCUCUCACGACUUUACACAAAAAUUAGGUGAUCAUUCUCUAUUCACUAAACCCAAUGGUGAAAACAUUACUAUCAUGCUAGUUUAUGUUGAUGAUAUAAUCUUAACAGUAAUAACAUACAUGAUAUUAAUCCCACCACUAGCAUGUUUAAUGAUCAUUUCAAAAUUAAAAGCAAUGGAAAAAUAUUGAUCAACAAUUCCCUCAAUUUGGUAAAGAGUGUAGAAAUCUUAGGCUUGGUUUAGCCACUGAUGGAAUGAACUCAUUUGGUAAUCUAAGUACCAAUCAUAGUUGUUGGCCAGUUAUAUUGAUAAUUUACAACUUAUCUCCUGCAUUAUGCAUGAAGACAAAGUACAUGAUGUUGUUUAUGAUUUAUAUCUGAUCCAAAGCAGCCUGAAAAUGACAUAGAUGUUUAUCUAAGACCUUAGUUGAAGACUUGAAGUUCUAUUUCAGCAAGUAUGAUGUUGGUUGAGAGAUCAAUUGCUAACAGUAGAAAGCUUUCAUGGAUUGCUCUCAAGGUUUGGCAUAUGCUAAAGUCAUACUUUCUUAUAGUUGUUUUGUUUUAAUGAUUUUCACUAACUAUUUACAACUAUGAUGAUAUAUUGUAGUGUAACAGACAGAAUGGGUCAUAUGAGUGCGAAUACUAUGUAAUGUAUUGGAUGCUCACAUUAUUCGUGCCCAUAUCACAAGAGGUUGGGAAAUAAUAAUAUUUAAAUUUAAUGAAUUUUUAUUUUCUCCAACAUUUGGAAUUCAUAUACACUAAUUAAUAUCAAUUGUCUUGUGCAAAGAUUCAAGACUCCUACUCCAAUUCCUGAGAAGCCACUUAUAUUCAUGAGGAAAACUAUUGCAAAACAUUUAGUUAGAUUAUAUAAUAGUUCAUAGUUAUUAGAUUUAAAAUACAUUAGAACAUGUUGAUUUAUACUUAUUAGACUUUGUACAUUAUGUGAUGUAAAUAUUGACUAUUGUGUUGAAUCUAUGUAGUUAUGAUAUUGUUUGAUAUGCAGGUAUGUUUUUGUGAUAGUGGAUAUCACAAAAACAGAGCUACUAUUAAAAAAAUUUGUAAGAGAAUAGGUCGCGGUUGUGGCCAAAAUCGGGGUAGAAAGCCUACCUAUGGUUGUGGUUCAGCUACAACCGAGGCCAAAGGUUAUACGAAAAUUUAAAAAAAAAGGGUUUUGGUCACGGUUCCAGCAAGAACCGUUGUCAUAUCCCCAGGUUAUUACAGCAGUUGGAACCGCGGUCAAAGGUUACACGAAUUUUUUUUUUUAAAAAAAAAAGAGUUUUGGCCGCGGUUCAAGAAAGAACCAUUGUCAUAUCCCUAGGAUAUUAUCGCGGUUGCAACCGCGACCUAAAGUCUCAGACUUUUUAUCUCGUCAGUAUAUACCACGGUUCUAAAACCGCGACAUAUAUUCAAAAACAACCAUAGUCGUUUUCCUUCGCUACACUAGUGACAGUUCCAUAUAUGAUUGCAACAUACAAUUCGUUUCCAUAAUAACUCUUUUAUGACGUGAUUAAAUUUUUAUUAUGACUAACAUUCAAAUUUGAAAAUUUAUAAUAAGUUUACUAAAAUUUAUGUUAACAAUUAUGUUUAUAAACAGUAUUAUAAAAUAAUUUCGCAAUUGGUAAUAUUAAACUGAUCAUUAAAUUGCUAUAAUUUACUCACAUUAAGUUUAAAAGAAGUAAAAGAGUUAGAAGAAAAAGGAAAAUAAAGAAUUGACGGAGUUAAAAGUAAUAGUUUAGAAAAGAGAGAGUAGAUGAAAUAGAUUUUUUUUUUUUAAGUUUUCAAAGUUUUACCUUAACAAAAUUCUAAUAUAAAAUCGAAAAAACAGAACAAUCUUAAUCAAUUACAUGGUAUGCUUUAACAUUUUUUAAGGCUUAAAAUAUUUUAAAAACAAUUAAAUGAUUAAUAAUGUUUCAUAGAAGCAUUUUGAUGUUUUUAAAAUCAUACCUUUUUUUCACAGUGCAUACAUAAUAUAAAAUAAAAUUAUAAUGAUUACAGUAAAAUAUUUUUUUACUAAACUAAACCAUCUUACUUGAUUGAGAUGAAUGGGGUUGGUAUUUGUGAUAUGGGAUUGAUGUAUGAGGCUAAUAUAUUGUUUGUUAUGAUUGGGCACAGUAAUGGAAUUGACCUGAGAAAUGAUAGUGACAAAAGUGAGUAGGCAAUGAUGAUGAUGGUGAAAGUGGUCCAAACGAGGCUAAUUGAUUAAACUCUCAAAAACAUGCAUAUAGAUUUCUUUUUUCAUGCACUUCAUUUUUGUACUUGGAAUCUAAUGACUUUCUUACAUGUACACACACACUUAUGAUUGCCUUUUAUUUCAUUUUUCAAUUCUAAAAUAUAAAUAUUUUGUUUUGUAAUUUUAAAAUUAGAACUUUCAAUCUAACAAUUAAAAUAUUAAUAUUAACUUACACAUGGUAUUGUGGUAAAAAGAUUAUUUGUUUAUUUUAAGUCACUAGAAUUGUUUUAACAUUUACUUGAAUACAAUUAUAUAAUCUUAAUCAGCACCUAAAAACUUAAGUGUCAUGUUACUGUUUUAAAUUUUUGGCUUAUUAAUAUUAUUGAAAACUCAGUGUUUCAAGUCUCAUGAUAUUAACAUCACCUUAAUAAUUUUUUUUUUUCAAUUCCCAUAAUUAACAUUGAAAAUACUUAACCAAAUUAAAAGAUUAACUUCACUGACAAUUAAGUUUGUUAAAAUAGUUUUAAAAAUGACUAGUUAAAUUAAAUAUUUAGAGUUAAAUGUUAUUUUUAGUACCAAUGGUUAGUCUUUGUUAAUAAUGAAGUAAUAUUAAUAUCAUCAUGAUGUCAUUGUACUGAUUAAAUAUAAAAGUCGCAUGUCGUUAAAGAAGUAUAAGGUUUAAAAGUUGAAAUUGUGGAGUUUCUAGAGACUAAGUUUUAGUAUAAAAAUAAAGACCUAAAAUAUUAAAUAUUCCUCAUCUUCAUCUUUGCUCUACUAUUUUUUUUCUUAUCUCCAUUCCUUGCCAAAGUUUUAUCUUUUGUAAUUAGUUAAAAAAUAAGAGAUGAUUCAUAUAUAUAUAUAUAUAUAUAUAUAUAUAUAUGAGAGUUUGUUAAUACGCGUACGCCUAUUUUUCAGUUGGUACGUUUUAACAAUGUGUACCGGAUUAUAGUAGACAAAAAUACCCUCAUUUAUUAAGGAGUUUAAGUUUUAAGGUCAAGGAUAUUUAAAUAAUUUUCAUUCUCAAAACUAAAAAAAAAAAAAAAAAAAACCCAAACCCUUACUCACCUCCCUCAUUCCUCUCAAUCCUUUCUCUUUCAUCUCUCUCAAUCCUUUCUCUUUUAUCUCUCUCACUCCAACACAUUUUCUCUCUGUCAUCCUUAUUGCCCCAAUUGAAAAAAAAAAAAUCAGAAACUCUUGCCUAACCCUUGUCCUUUUCCCUUUACACAAAGUGUUUCUUUUUCCUUUCUCUAUUAGUAUGGAAUACAUGAUAUAAGAUUACAACCUAGAAUUGAAAGAAUUGUACUCCUAUGGAACUCUUCUAUACCUAUUUCUUUAAUUUCCUUAUGUCCCUUUUUUAUCACUGAAUCAACUUCUACAGGUGUUUAGAAUAAACUUUAACCACUGUGCAAGAUAAAAAACAAUAAAAUCAUUUUUUACCUUUGAGAUUUGGAAAGAGUAACGUAAAAUGACAAAGUUUAUAUUCAUUUUACACACAUUAAUAAAUAUAAAAUGAUUAUAAAAGAUUAAACUUUUUCAAUUUUUUAAAAAUAUCUCUAAUUCAAAUGACCAUCACCAUCUUCAAUUGAGUUGAGAUGAAAAAAAAAAUGUUGGAGUGAUGACAGAGAAAAUGUUGAGAUAAGAGAGAAAAUAUCUCUCAUGACAAAGGGUUUCUGAUUUUUUUUUCAAUUGGGCAACAGUAGGGAUGACAGAGAAAAAAAUGUUGGAGUGAGAGAGAUGAAAAAGAAAAUGUUGGAGUGGGAGAGAUGAAAGAGAAAGGAUUGAGAGGAAUGAGGGAGGUAAGUAAGGGUUUGGGGGUUUCUUUUUUUUAGUUUUGAGAAUGAAAAUUAUUUAAAUAUCCUCGACCUUAAAACUUAGAAUCCAUGAUAAAUGAGGGUAUUUUUGUCUACUAUAAUCUGGUACACAUUGUUAAAACGUACCAACUGAAAAACAGGCGUACGCGUGUUAACAAAUUAUAUAUAUAUAUAUAUAUAUAUAUAUAUAUGUGUGUGUGUUCUUAAAUUAUAAAAAAAAUACUAAAAAUAUAAAUAGUAAACCAAAACUAGAUAAUACUAUAAAGAAAAAGAAUAUAUAAAAGUUUUUGUUGUUGGUUGUGUUAUAACCUGUAGAGAAUCGUGAUCGAUAACAGUGCAGUGGUUAGAUUUCUUUAUAGUUAUCAUGAUUAUAAAUUAUAUAAAUGUACUUGCGAAUUCAUAGAUUUGACUUUACGAAUUACAAAUAAUAUCUCAUAGGAAAGGAUAUCAAACACUACCCACACAUAACAGCUGCAAUAUGCCAUUAUAAUAUGUAUGUUUUAAAUAAAAAAUUAUCACAGCAUAAGUAUUUAUUAAAUUUUAUUAUUUACUUUAUAGAUAUAGAUGUAGUCGAACGAAUAGUUAUAAAGUUGGAUUGGAUGAUUAUAUGACAUAGAAGUUAUUUUUAAUAUUAAAUUUAUUAAAAUAAAGUAUGAUUAUCUUAUAACUAGACUAUUCUCAAUCAAGAAUUGUUUAAAAAUUCUACACAAGAUCAAUUUAUAAUAUUUUAUUUUAUAAAUUGAUUUUGUAGAUUGAAUUAGUUUAUAUAACAAGAUCAUUAUGACAUUCUUUUCUAUCUACUAUCACACCACCUAUUAAAAUAAUUUCUAAAUAUACAUAAGAAAACAAAGAUUAGAAGAAGUAACUUAAAAAUAAACAAUUAAACUCUUUUACAAAUUAUACAACACGAUCUCAACUCAUAUACGAGACAAUUAUAAAUUACUUAAUUGCAGUUUGAGAUUAAAAUAAAGUUGGAAGAGGAAAAAAAAGUUAGAAAUAAGUUUUAUUUCACAUUUUACAAAUUAUAAAUAUAUAUGUAUAUAUAUAUAUAUAUAUAUAUAUAUAUAUAUAUAUAUAUAUAUUUAUUUAUUUAUUUGGUUUUUGUUUCUAAUGAUUGAGAGGAAUUAUAAGAAGAUACGUAAGAGGUUUGAAAGACUUUCAGUUUGUUGUACAAAUUAAUGAGUACUCUGACAGAAAAAAAAAACAACACCUUAAUUACGUCAACCAACAUACAUUGCUUCUUUUUCAAAGAUAAAAAUGUUGGAAAUAAGAUAACACUCAUAUAUUUAUAACUUUUAAAUAAAUGUAUAUUUACUAAUAAAGUAAUUGUCACCUCCACUAUUUUAUUUAAAAUGACAUAUUUAUUAAAAGUUAAAUAAUAAUAAAAAUAUGAAAAUCAAUGAUAUUGAUGUUGUGGAGAGAAUCCAUUGCAUGUAUCUAGAUACAUGAUUCCAAGUAUAUGAAAUGAGAUUUUGUAUGAAAUUAUAAAGGAUAAAUUGUUUGGAAAACAUAAUAUACGUACUUUCAUCUUCAACUUUAUAUUCUACAUUUAAUUUCAAGUAAUUAACUUUUACCAUUUUCUGGACCACAUUCACAUCACCGUAUAUAUUGCAUAUCCAUUUUUAGAUUCUUCUCCACUCAACAUCACCACUCAAUAUCACACAAUAAGGGUUUCUGAAGUCAAGGUUGAGGUUUAGAAUUCAAGUUCAUUGGAAAAUGGUAAAGGUUCUUGAACAAUCAUAGGUUGAAAGAUGGAGAGUAGGUUACACACAUCAACGUUCAAUAGCUUUUAAUUUGGGACAAAUUUUUAAACAUAUUUAGCAACCAACUCCUAUUCUGUUACUAAAACAAACUUAAUUUCAUAAACAAAUUAAUACUUUAAUUUUGCGACUCAAACAAUAACAUUCUUUCAGUCCUCGAAAUAACAUUUUCAGUUUAAUUUCAGUGGCCAUUAAUUUAGUAAAGAAAAUUUAGCUACCAAAUUAUCAAUCACUUUUCAAUCAUUCUACACAUUAAUGUGAGUAGAAAUUUAUUCCAUUGCAAUUUUGGUAGCUGAUUUACAAUGGUGACUAUUUUAAUCAGACUUUUAACAUAUUUAUUCACAUGACUAAAAUUGGUCACUAAAUAACUUAUUUAUUGUUGUUUCGAUUUAGGAAGUUGAGAGACUGUCUUCUUAUUUAAAUAAUUUUAUGUUUUCAAAUUCUAAUUGUCAAAUAGUUUUUAAAUCCUUUUUAAGUCAUUCAAUCCGUCUGGAAAAUACUUACAAAAGUAUUUAAAUGUUCAAGUCAAUGAAUUUAAUUAAUCAUAAGAAAAAAUGAGUUAUGAAAAGUAUAUCCUACUUUAAAAUGAAACUUAAAUUUAUAGAUUUUUUAAUAAAUUUUUAAUUAAGUCAAAAACUCGUUAAUUACUUAUUAAUGAUUUUUAUUAUAUUUUAUUAAUUAUUUAUUAUUUAUUAUUAACUUUUAUUUUCUGACACUCAUUAAUGAUUUUAAUUGUUCUAAUUAAUUAUCAGUUAAUUAUGACUCUUGAUCAUAUAAUCGAUUAUACUGUUAUUUAAUGGGAUAAUGAUAUUUAGAUAACAUUUUUUUGACAACAUUUGAACAUUGAUUACGUGUCAAUCUGUGAUUGGUCAAAAAUUACUCCACAAUAAUGUUUAUGAUUAUUAUUAUUGAUUAUGGAAUAAUUUUUGACUAAUCACAGAUUGACACGUAAUCAAUGUUCAAAUGUUGUCAAAAAAAUAUUGUCUAAAUAUCAUUAUCCUAUUUAAUGAUAUCCGAAGAGUCAUAUAUUAUAAUUGUUUUAUAACACAAUUUACCAUUCCCUAAAAUAUAAUUUAAUGGUAUUUUUAAUAUAUAAUAAUUAAAAGUUUGAAUUUAUAUAAAAAAGUGUUAAUUUUGUUUGAUAUAGAAGAGGUAUAGUGAUUGUAAUUAAACGCGGACGGUAGCGAAGGGUGGAGUGCGUGUAUAUCUGAAGGCAUUAUGGGAGGAAAUCUUAGCACUAGUUUUUGAAGGAGAAAAUUGAUGAAAGAAAUGUGUAACAUGCAAUUAUUGAUUGACACGUGGAUGAUUUAGCUUUGACGAUAAAACAUUUUCAGUGGCCUAGGCCGUACACUAUUCCACUCUCCACAUUCUUCCUCACAAUCAUUCUCUCACUAUUUUGUCACUUCUUACCGCCCAUUUCCACACCACAAUUUUCUCAUCAACAACACCUUUAUUCAAAUCUUAAUUAUCAAUUAAUCUUUUACACUUUUUAUAUUUUUAUUUUUAUUUUUGGAGCCUCCCUUAUUAAAUGAGACAAACUCACUCAUUUUGUUACUAUUAAAGGUAUAUUUAAAAAAUAUUUGCUUCAUUUAAAAGAAAAGAAAUCUAUAGAUUAAAAUUUGUUCUAAUAUAAAUUUAUUUUUUAUAAAUUCAUAAAAAUUCUUAUUUUCUUCUUUUUAUUCUUUCUAGAAUUAGUUUUAGAGAAACUUCUCCUAACAUAAAUUUUGCAAAUACUUAUAAUUGAUGAAAAGAAUUAAUUAAUCCAAUCAUUCAACGCAUUCUCCAGCAUUGGUAAAUAUAUACGAAAUGAAAGAAUUCGUAGGUAAUAACAACAUAAAAGCGAAUGAGGAAAAAUGAAUAAAGUGCAUCUUGACAUAGGUUAUACCCAAUGAGGUGUUUGAAAAUAAGUAUACCAAGACUAAAUUAGGAUAUCAUAGAAGGUCAUGUCUAAUAAUCUCGUCUUUCUUCAUUCAAAACAAAUUCCUUUUACAUUCUUUUUUUUCUAAAAUUCCAACUUUUGCUUCUUUCUUGUUUCCUUCUUCAACUCCCAUUUUCUUAUUUAGCCAUUUUUUUUAUUGAAGUAUGUGAUUUAUUUUAUUUUUCAUAUAGAUUAGGAUUUAUAGAAUAAUAAUGUAAGAAAUAUUUUUCAAAAUUAUUUCUUCAUCAACAUUAACAAAAAGUUUCUCAAUGAAAAAUAAUAAAAUUAUUUUUUGAUUCAUAAAAACUAAGGUUAACUUAAUGUAGUUUACUGAUGUUACAUUAUUAGUAUGUGAAGCACACAUUAAGAAUAUAUUAAGAAUAUAUUGCUUAAGACUACUUUGAGAUGUUUUUAAAUUGGUGUUACGACUAAGAGUCAACAUCAUGAAAGUAAGAUGGGUGAAACAAAAGAAGAGAAAGAUGUUUUGAAAAUCUUUUCUAGGAUAUUAUCUUAUAAUUUAGAGAUAAUCCCAGAAAAAACAAUUUUGGCAAGACAUGAUUGAUAAACUAGUAAAGAAGCUUACUAGUUGGAAAGGUGAGUUAUUUUCUUUUCUUGGUCGUAUAUGUUUUGUUGAGUUUAUCAUUUUAACCCUCUCAUUAUUUUUAUCUAUCCUUCUUCAAAGCAGCAGAAGAUAUAUGUAAAGUGUUUACAAAAAUACAAAGAAACUUUUUUUUUUGGGAUUGGAAGCCGAAAGAUUGAAAAAUUGCUUAGACUAAAUGGGAAAAAGUAUGUAAACCAAAGAAGUGGAUUGAUAAUAAGAGACAUCACAAGGUUUAACAUUGCUCAAUUAGAAAAAUUUAGAUGUGAAAAAUCAAGGCAUAUGGAAGGAGAUCUUAUAAUGUAGGGUAUAAAGAAUAAAAUCAAAUUUUAGGAGGAUAAAUAGGUAAGAAAAUAUCCACUCUAUUAUAUGUUUCCUAUACUAUUCGAUAUAUCAAAUUAUACGAGAAAAAGUAUAGGUGAGUUAAGGAAUGGAAUGGUAGUAGGUUGGAGUGGAAUUUGAUUUAGAUGAGAAAGUGGUUGGUGUGGAAAAUAGUUCAAGAACAAAAGUUCAUCCUUAUAAAGUGAGGUUUGCUCUCACUUAUAUAUUAUAAAUUGGCUUUAUAUCUAGUCGAUGUGGGACUUCCAACAACACCCCUCACGCCGAGGUAUAGACAUCAUCUCGAGCAGGAGAUUAGACAUUAAUGGGUAGUCCGAAAACGGGUGGAACAACAUGCCAAACAAACAACAAAUAUCGCUUGGAUAGACUCUAAACAUAGCUCUGAUACCAUGUUGAAAAGUGGACUUUAAGCAUAACUACCCCACAAAAUUGGCUUGUAAGGUAAGGUUUGCACCCACUUAUAUAUUAUAAAUUGUCCUUAUCUCUAGUCGAUGUGGAACUUCCAACAAAUAAAGCCUGCAUAUAACAAUCUGCAAUACAACAAGAGAAGAUAUUGGUUUGUUCAAUUCCUUUUGGAGUGUGUAGGAUGUAUUGAAUGCACAACACUUAAUGUGGAGAGUGUUAUUGGAUAAGGUAUCUACAAAAGAAAAUAUAGCACAAUGAGAAGUAUACCUAAAUAGCAUCAUGUAAAGUAAAGGAGGAAAAUGUCACAUAUUUAUUUUUCUUUAAUAAAAUAGCUUAAACAGUUUGUGAUCUAUGUGAUAGCUGAGUAGGAGUACGCGCACUACACCUAACCAUUCUAAAAUUAACUUCUAACAAUUUCAUCUAAUGGACCUAAAUGGGAAACUAAAUGAAACCUAGAAUGUAUUAUGGAUAGAAAUUAUAUGUGAGACAUGAAAACAUAAAAACAAAGCAAUAUUUUGGCAAGGGAAGGUAGAUGUUGAAGAAAUACUAUGUGUAAGACAAUUAAAUGCAUGACUAUGGAUGACACAAAAUAUCUAGUAUAAACUUUUAUAUUGUGACUCAUAUCAAUGCCCAGUCUAAUACUUAAAAUCAUUGUGAAACAAAGGUAGCUAGGAAUAUGUUUAAUAAAGUGUAGGUAAUCUAUAAUGCUAGCUACAUACUAAAGACAUUCAAACAAUAAUAUUUCUACAAAAGUUCAUAAAUAUGACUUUUCUUUAAGUAUAAGUUGAAUUCUAAACUUAACCAAUUGGGAUCUCCUUGAGGUGAAAAAGAGACCGUAUGGAUUGUUAGAAUUAAACACCAACUCAUUACUAUGUUGCAUCUUGACAAAUCUAUGUUGAAUUGUUUAUAUAUUGGAAGGGCAUACUAUGUCAAUAAAUUGAAGACUUAGUAAAUUUAAAAAGUUCUAAAAAUACAUAUUUGGAUAGUGGGGUUUUAACCUUGAUGUGAAAUUGUAGUGAUUGUGUUAUAAUUGUUGUUCAAUUAUAAAAUAUAUUUUUCUAGUUUAAUUCAUAUAUUAUGAUUCUGCAAAUGAAAAUAUACUGCUACAAUAUUUGUUAUGACUCUAAGAUUAGAAAUAACAAAAGUGAAAACAAAGUUAAAUAAGAACUUGAAGAAAAAGAAAAGUGAGAUGUGAUUAAACCCAAGUGUUGCAUUUUAAUGUAGAGUGAUGAAGCAAGUAUAUAAUAAUUAAGGGGAAAGCUCAUUUUAUCGUAUGAUCGGUCGGUCACUCAUUGACUGGACGAUUAACGUUUCCAGAAGAACAUUGAGAAUAUCAUUUCCAACCUCAAUUUUUACAAACCGAACGACCACUCAUCAAACUGUUCGAUCAUGAAUCUAUUAGGCACCCGUAUUAUAAAUUGAACAUAUUUACAUGUAAAAUGCACUUAUCCACUUUUAGGUCUUGAUUAGGCCAACUCUAAUUAAAAGUCCAUUUUGAAACCUAUUACUAUCAAAAUGGGUUAGAACCUACGGACCAACCCGUCUCACCACAGGUUCGGACCGAGUUGUGUUUGAAAAAAAUGAAUUUUUUUUAUACGGGUCAAUUUUCAACUCAGCUCAUUUAGAACCAGACUCACCUGGAUUGAAUCUAUGGUGAGUCGGUUUGGCUCACCAACCCACCUAGUCUAAUUUAAUUAUUUAUUAUUUUAUGUUUUAAUAUUAUUAGUUAGCAUAUUUUGUUUUUAUUCUAUUGUAAAUGAGAAUAAAGAAAAAAAUGUUUCAAGAGAACAAAAUAUUAUAAAUUUAUCCAUUCAAGAUUAUAAUCUUAUAAAUUGAUAAAUGACACAAAAAUUAUCAAUCUUAUAAAUUUAUUUAUUCUUUUUUUGGGUCUCCUUAUAUUUGAGUUGUAUGUUAAUUGUUUUUUUUUUUUAAUUGCCUUUGGAGUUUAACAUCAUUUUAUAGUAAAAUUAUUUAAAUUUGAAUUACAAAAAAAAUGUAUUUUUUUUAAUUUAAAAAAAAACUAGUAAUUAAGCGAGUCAGUGAAUCAAUCCGUUUAACCUACCAACCCGUGGUGGACUAAGUUAGAUUCGAAUUUUUUUAACUCGCUAAUAAAUGAGUCGGAUUGGAUCGGCUCGGGUGACCCAUUUUGAGAGUACUAUGAAAACCUAUAAAUAUAGAGAUAAAAUAAGGAUAUAGAUGAUUGCAUUUAUUGUGAACUUAAGACUUUAUUGUAAUAAAUGAUCAACCAUAUAACUAACUUCAAUGUUGGAAUAGUGUUCAUACAACUUAGAGUUUGAAUAAUGAGAACUGAAUAUAAUUUUGUAACAGACACAUGAGAUUAUGAUAGUAGAAUGGAAAAAACAUAUAAAUAAAUGUUUUAAUUGUAAUUCUCACCCUCCCAUCCGAAACACUCAUGAAUCUAACUAGAUAUAUGAAAAAGUUGAAUAGUGGAGAAAUUUGUCUAUUUAUAAUUUAAAUAUAUAAACAACUACAAAUUUUAAUUUUUUUUAAUGAAAUGAUAUUCAAAACAUAAAAUAGGUUUAUUUUGCUUAUCGGAACAUAUUUUUUGCUUAAGUGGGAAAAAAUAUAUAUACACAUAUUUUAUAAACUGUUAGAACACUUUUAAUGUUUAAUUAUAUAUAAAUAUAUAUAUAUAUAUAUAUAUAGAUAUAUACUUUUUUAUUAUAUAUAAAUCAUAUAUUUGUAUUAAUAUUUUGUAACGAUUUUUCUAAUUACUGUCCCGUAUGUCAUUUAUUCGAAGUUGGUCAUAAUUUUUUCUAAUAGCAAUCUAAGAAAUUAAAAAAAAAGAUUAUUUUUGUUAAUGUCAAUUGGGGAAAAUAUUUAGUUAAUAUUAGUUAAAAACAUAAUAAAAUAGUUAAGUAAGAACAUCUAAUUUUUAACCUUAGUAAAUAUAAACAAAAAUAAUUAGUAUCAAAUUAAUUAAAAAUAAUCAUAACGGAUACUAAUAAUAAAGUUUUUGGAUAAAACGUCUUAACUAUCGAGAAAUACUAAAAACAUAUUUUUAAAUUAUGAAAUAAUUAUUCUUUAAUACUUAACCUUUUAUAUUUAGUGUUAAUUGAAAGAUUUUAUAAAAAAUUGGAAUUUAUUAAACUUCAAUUAACUUAUUUAAAUAAAGUAUUGAAAAAUAAAUCAAUUAAAUUAAAUUUAUUCAAAUUUUUUAAAAUUAGUUGAUAUCAAAGUUACGAUAAAGAUAUUAAUCUCCUAUGAAACCAAGGAGGGGAUAAGUGUUUUUAAAUUAUCUAUAAGUGGGAGUCAUUCUUGUCCUCUGAUUUUGGAAAUAAAUUUUCGAAUUUUAAAAAGGAUAAAACUUUUAAGAAAAUUUGUAAAUGAUAGAGAAAGAUAACUAAACUUUAUUCGAUAUCAAUGUUUCCCAUAACCCAUUAGGACCAACCUAUUUCUAGGGAAAGGUUUAUCUAAUUCACAUCAAGUUUUAGGUUCAAAUAUGAUUACUCUAAUUGUAAAAGAUAUAAUAUUUUCUCAUUUACAAGCUUCAAAUCUUCAUUUAAUGAAUAUUGAAUCACAUCACCUUUUCUUUUCUUUGUUCUUCUCUUUCUUAUUUUUCUCAUUUUUCUUUUUAAGUUAUUUAUUCUUUCAAAGCAUAAUAAUAGUUCUUUUUUUUAAGUUUUCCUUUCCUAUUCAUCUAAAAAAUGAAAGCAUAACGUCUCCUCUACUACUAUCCAAAUUAAAAGUACUGAACCAAUGUAAACACUAGAAAAUGCUUUGAAAACUAUUGACAAAAAGGAUAAUUUGAUAGAGUGAAACUUUGUGACUCCAAAAGAGAACAAAAAGUAUUAAAUUAAAGAAAAAUAUAAAUCCUUAAAUCGGUAAUUUCUUAAAAUUGUUGCAAAUUGAGUGAAAUUUCUUAUUCAUCUUUAUUUUAAGAUUUUAUUGUCCUUUUUCUUUUUUUUUUUCAUAUGUGGUAAAGGUAUUGGAAAUCUUAUAUUGAUUACAGAUAAAAUCCAAUUAUAAUAUAUAAGUGAGGUAUAAAUUUCAUCUUACAAACUGAUUUUGUAAAAUUAAGUUAGACUUAAAUUCACUCUCUAAUUUAGUAUCAGAAUCAUUAUUAAAGACCACUUAGGACUAUGUGGAAAUGAAAUGAAAACUUAAAUUGCUAUUAUAAUGAAUUUACCUGGUAUCUUGUAACUUAAUUUCUGCUAGUAAUGAGUACUUGGAAAGUUUGUCCUAAUAUGUGUUGAAUUUCAAAGAUUUUUCGCACCAUAACAAAGUCGUUUUGCAUUACAUUAGUGAAAAAUUUUUCUUCUAAAGAUUUAGUGUUAGUGCACAUAUUAAAAUUGGAGACUCUUAUUACCCUCGAUAAACAUAUUAAAGAACACAUUUUAUUAAGUUUUUUUUAUUAUAAAGUAACCAAAUCUACAUUCAUAUUAUCUCGGUAGUUUAGCGUUAUCGUUAUUAUUUAUCAUUUUAUUAUUAUUAACUAUAUUAUUAUUAUAUGUUUGAGAUAAAUAUUAUUUCAAUGAAAAAAUAAACCUAUAAUCCAUAUUAAUCUUAUAAAUUUAAUUAAUAUUUUUCAAAUAAUACUUACUUUAUAAUUAGUCAUACAUAAUUAAUAUAUUUAUAAAGAUCUUAAACUCAUUUCCUAAUUUGAGCAUUAAAAAGUGUUUUGCUAAUAAAUCUCCCCUUUGAACAGCAAAUAAUCUCAUUCUAAUCGAUAAAAACUCUCAAAGCCACCACAAAGAUUUUACUAUCUGCUGACAAAUCCACGUUCAAAUCCUAAUAAUAACAUAUACUUUUUAUUAUAUUGAAACAAUUCACAUAUUCAUUGGUGAGUUAAAAAUAUUAUUAAUUUACGCUCUUCCAUCCAAUUUAGGAAAAGUUUUUAACAGGUGUUUAUAAAAAAAACAAACUCUUCUAUAAAUUAAAAUUUAAUUCAUAAACUUUAUUUUUUUACCAUUUUUCUAAAUGAAAUUUUAUGAUUAAAUUUUAAAUGAUAGUUUACUUAUUUUGCCUCUUAUUUAUCUUUCUUGUCCCAAGUUUUCGCCCUUUUUGUCUAAUCUCUUCCUCAUUCAAAUAAUCAAAAAUAUAUUCGUCCUUUUUUCUUUUUGGGUGAUACUUUUUUAUUCAUUCUUCUCUUACGUAGAAAUGGACACAUUGAUGGGCUGGUUCGAUCAGCCCAAUACGAAUUAGGUUGAAUUUUUAAAAGGGUGUUUCAUCCUCCACCUCCAAGACUUCAUCCUGCACCUCCAACUUUUUCAAAAGAUUUAUUUUUAACUUUAGUAAAUAUCUUUUUUACUUUCCACUUUCUAUUUAAAGUAAUCUUACAUUUUUACCUUUGCAUCUUUUUAACAAAAUUUUUAUAACUUUAUCUUUUAUUUAUAACUUUAUAAUUAUUUAAUUUAAUUUAAAAACCAAAUAUUAUUUAAUAUUUUUUUGUAUUUUAAUAAUUAAUAAAAUAUAAUUUUUUUCCUUUAAAUUAAAUUAUAAUUAAAUUUUAAAUAGAAAAUAAAAUUUAAGAAAAAGUUAUCGGAUAUACAAAAGUUUUUAAUNNNNNNNNNNNNNNNNNNNNNNNNNNNNNNNNNNNNNNNNNNNNNNNNNNNNNNNNNNNNNNNNNNNNNNNNNNNNNNNNNNNNNNNNNNNNNNNNNNNNNNNNNNNNNNNNNNNNNNNNNNNNNNNNNNNNNNNNNNNNNNNNNNNNNNNNNNNNNNNNNNNNNNNNNNNNNNNNNNNNNNNNNNNNNNNNNNNNNNNNNNNNNNNNNNNNNNNNNNNNNNNNNNNNNNNNNNNNNNNNNNNNNNNNNNNNNNNNNNNNNNNNNNNNNNNNNNNNNNNNNNNNNNNNNNNNNNNNNNNNNNNNNNNNNNNNNNNNNNNNNNNNNNNNNNNNNNNNNNNNNNNNNNNNNNNNNNNNNNNNNNNNNNNNNNNNNNNNNNNNNNNNNNNNNNNNNNNNNNNNNNNNNNNNNNNNNNNNNNNNNNNNNNNNNNNNNNNNNNNNNNNNNNNNNNNNNNNNNNNNNNNNNNNNNNNNNNNNNNNNNNNNNNNNNNNNNNNNNNNNNNNNNNNNNNNNNNNNNNNNNNNNNNNNNNNNNNNNNNNNNNNNNNNNNNNNNNNNNNNNNNNNNNNNNNNNNNNNNNNNNNNNNNNNNNNNNNNNNNNNNNNNNNNNNNNNNNNNNNNNNNNNNNNNNNNNNNNNNNNNNNNNNNNNNNNNNNNNNNNNNNNNNNNNNNNNNNNNNNNNNNNNNNNNNNNNNNNNNNNNNNNNNNNNNNNNNNNNNNNNNNNNNNNNNNNNNNNNNNNNNNNNNNNNNNNNNNNNNNNNNNNNNNNNNNNNNNNNNNNNNNNNNNNNNNNNNNNUUUUAUUUUUAUUACUUUUAUUUUAAUUAUUUUAAUUUUAAUUUUAGUAAUAUAAUUAUUAUAAUAAUAUAAAUUAUAUUUUAAUAAUUAUUAAAAUAUGAAAAAAUAUUAAAUAAUAUUAGAUUUUUAAAUUAAAUUAAAGAGUUAUUAAAAUAUAAAUAAAAGACAGUUUUGAAAAAAAUUUGAAAAGGAUACAAAGUUAAAAAAUGUAGGAUUAUUCUAAAUAGAAAGAAAAAAAGUAAAAAAUAUAUUUACUAAAGUUAAAAAAUAAAGUUUUGAAAAAGUUAGAAAUACAAGAUUACCAGAGAUGCAGGAUGAAACACCUUACUUUAAAUAGAAAGUGAAAAGUAAAAAAAAUAUUUAGUAAAGUUAAAAGUAAAUUUUUAAAAAAGUUGGAGGUGCAGGAUGAAACCUUUGGAGGUGUAGGAUGAAACACCCUUUUUAAAAUUUAAUUCUGGUACUAUUUGUGCCCGAGAAGGCCCAACCUGGAGUAAGAUGAGUCGGGAGGAAUAGCCCAUUUGCCUAGUUUGUCAUUUUAUUAUUAUUUUUUACGGUUAAUUUAUUCUGCACGAUGAAUAAUAUUUUUAAUUUCUAACACUUCUUUAUCGUUACAACCUAAUAUUUCUUUUUUCAGUUAAUAGUGAAUAAAAAUGUUUUAUUAUGUUAGUUCACAUAUACUAACACAAUUUCUUAAUCUUCAUUCUCAUCCAUGUUUACCAUGUGGCGAUGCAUGAUAAGGUGACAACGUAGGAGUUGUCACUGUCAACCUCGUCCGUCUCGUGAUAAUGAAUGCAAAACAUUCUAAAUAAGAGUAGUUGAGAUUCAAAGGAAUAACACAAGAAACACAAGAUUAAUGAGAAUAUCUAGAUUGAUUUCGUAUUGAGACAUUGAAUGAUGAGUUAUCUAUAAGAAUAUAUAAGGUGGUAUCAUUUCCAACUGAAAUGGAAUUCUGGUAGUAAGUGUGACUAAAAUGAAAGAACAUAAAGAACAUGAUAACUGAACAUGGAAACACAAUACAAAUGUAGAUUGAAGAAUCAAAAACUAAAAGAACUCAAAGUCCAGAUAUUUACCCCCAGACUUCAUCUCAUUAUUACCUCCCAUCUUCUUACUACUAUUGUUCAUGCCAACCCCAACAGUAUCAACUGCUUCAAACUUUGCUGCUACAACAUCACAUUCAACUGCUCUUGGAACUUCUGGUGGAGUGCUGCACCUGAUCAACGCCCAGUUCACGCCUUCAAAGAACGGGUGCUGUUUGAUCUCAGUCGCACCCCUCUUCACUCCCAGCCGGUGCUGCGGCUCCUUCACCAGCAGGCACCGGAUGAGAUCACGGCUCGCAUAACUGGUGGCCGGUGACUCCGGAAAUCUGAGCUGCUGGCCUACUACGUUGAAAAGGGUCGCGCGGUUUCCUGACCCUUUGAAAGGGGUUUUACCAUAUAAUAGUUCAUGCAAGAAAAUCCCAAAUGUCCACCAAUCCACUGCACUUCCAUGACCUUCUCCUUUGAUGAUUUCGGGAGCAAGGUAUUCGUGAGUGCCCACAAAAGACAUGGACCGAGCAGUUGUUGGUUCUGCAACAAGCUCAGGAAGUGUGCUGGAUGCCAGGCCAGGAUCCGCUUUAGGCCUCCGUGACUUCUUAUUUUUCUGAGCAAAAAGGCGAGGCAUGAAACAUGAAGGCUGGAUGCAUACCGAUGAAGGCUCCAUACAAGCCGGCUGCACACAGAAUGCGCCACCGGCUCGUUUGGAGGGAUCCCCGUCAAUAUUUCUGAUAAGGGUAGGUGAAACAGCACAUCUGAGAGAGAGAUCGAAGUCUGAGAGCAUUAUGUGACCAUCAUCUCUUACCAGUACGUUUUCAGGUUUAAGGUCUCUGUACACCACUCCAAGCAUAUGAAGGUAUUCAAGUGCCAACAGAACCUCUGCUGCAUAAAAGCUACACAGCAUGACAAGCAUUUUAUUAGUCAUAACAUGAAAGGAAAAUUACAUUUUCCAAAAUGCACCAUUCAUGUAGAAACAUACAUAUUUGCCAAUUGUAUUAUACACUGGUUAGGAUUUUUUGACAUCUUCCUAUUGUUUCAGACUUCAUAGAGAAGUGACUCUGCAUGCUAUGGAACAACCUAGCAUUUCAUAUAAAGCCACACUGAUAUAAGAAUAGUUACAGCAUCAAUGUGCUGUUACCUUAUUUUUUAUAUAAGGAGAACCAGAACUAGGCAACUUUAAUCCAAUUCAGGAAAAAAGCAAGGUGAAAAAGGAAAAACGAGCUUUUAACACAUUAGUAUUGUUCAUGGCAUCCUAGCAGUCUGAAUUAUCUCGGCCUGCAGAAGACCUUCAAUGCAGAAAAUUCUUCUGCCUUAUACCUAUCGUUAAUGCAAGAGCAUUCUGGCAAUGUCACUAAAGCUACUUUAUUAUCUAGCCAACCUACUUUAUAUAAGCGGCUAUGUCUCAAUUUUCAUACUGCAGCACAACCGUAUGACUUUAAUAUUUAUAGCACCAUUGGAAAAUCAACAAUGUCCUCUGCAUAAUUGUUAAGAAAAAUAUAAUCAUCGUGUAUAGUAUCAUCAACAGCACAAAAUAUGAAAGGAAUCAACAAUCAAAAUACAGAUGAAUACAUAAAGGUCACAGACUAGAAAAAGGAGAUCUUCACAACUGAAAGCAGCUACUCACAGUUCUGAUAAAUGAAUGUGUAUUUGUAUCUGUAAAGUUCAAAGCAUACCGUGCAGCAUACUCCAAGAAAUGUUUCCCAGGUUGUCUUUGCCUUAAGGUGUGAAGAUCACCCCCUGGACAGUAUUCCAUUACCAAACAGCAGAAUCUGUCGGUCUCAAAAUGUGUAUACAAAGUAGGCAGAAAUGGAUGAUCAAGCAACUGCAAUAUCUCUCUUUCUGUCUGAGCCCUAGUCAGCUUAUUUCUGCUUGCUAAGGAUGCCUUGUCCAUAACUUUCAUUGCAAAAAAGCAUCGAGUUGCACUAAGCUCUGAGAGAUACACACUUCCAAUAUCACCACAACCAAGUCGUUUGAGUAACCUGAAGUGACUCAUGCCAAGAAUUCCGUCCCGUGCUCGGAUGGCAAGGAUAGCCUUCCAUCUAGGAUCAUUUCCCUUGUGUGGCUUAUUGGCACUACCAGUUAUGUUACUCCAGUUGCUGUCAUCACUGAGGCCACUGCUAUCACUUGCUCGACUAGCACUAGUUUUUGCACUCUCCAGUGAUUCGCCUCUAACACUUCCUUUAGUGCUAUCACAAUUCCUGUCCAAACUAAGCAUUCCAUCGCUAGUGACUGCAUCACUCCGGUAUGUACUUGCACAACUAUUAACGAUGCUCAUUGUUCUGACAACACUAGUACUAUCAAUACUACUAAGGGGACUAACAUUACCACUUGGAGGCAAAGAUGCAUCCCAAACACAUUCUUUCUCCUCAGAAUCUGGAGCAGGAGGAGAGUUCUCGGUAUUCUGAGAUGCACGAGCACCUGAAAGUGGCGAGGGUAUGUUAUGUGUCUCAUUUGACUCACCAACCAGGCUUUCUGCAGGAGAAACAACAGCCAUGCUUUGUUUCUUGGCAGGAACACAAAUUGAAAGAUCUUCUAAGAAAGGACCAGGACCCUUCAAGGACACACUCUUCAUCAAGCAUGCUGCCUCAGAUUUGGUUUGACCUAUUGGCACAUAAACCGUUCUCAUAAGAUCAGUAUCAACAGGUUCUGGGGGAUGACUUGCACCAGCAAAUGAACUUGGACCAGUUUCCCCUAAAGAAUCAUUGCUACCCUUCAAUGUCUGAAUAUCAGGCACAAGUUCUACGGCUUCAGGUAAAGAGCUCUUUCCUUUCCACAUUCUUGUAGGAACAGGGGAGGGAGGCUCUUGACAGGACCGUGUAUCGAACCCCAUAUCCUCUCUAACCAAAACUAUUCGUGCAUUUGAUAACUGAGCCACUUCUCUUAUGGAGGCUAGACGUGUCAUGGGGCCAUCUCGUGACUUUGAAAACUGAUUCCCUUCUCUUGAUGGAAUCCCUCUCACACCCGAAACAUCCUGCGCAUUUAGUCUUUGACCAGCUUCUCUCAUUGCAGCAGUGUGCGCAUUAGAUACCUCAACCAGAACAGGUAAUGACCGAGGAAGUACCUUUGGCUCUGCAACCCUCUCCAUAUCCCAAUAUCACAUAUCAUCAAACGACGACUUCUAGUUAAGAAAACCCUGCAAAUUCAGCAAAGAACUAACUUAACAGAAGAUUCACUCAACUUGAAUUACUGUGUAUUUUUAAUUUAAAACCAAUUAUCAAGUGAAAAAGCCGGGAACCGAGUAAAAUAACAAGAACAUGGAAUGAAAGAAUAAAGUAGUCUUAUUCUUCUUGGUAGUGACAAGUGGUAACUGCGGAAAGCACAAACAGCAUCAUAAAUUGGAUCCACAGAGAAACGACAAAUGUAGAAAGCUCAAUUUAAUAUCUUGAAACAUCAAGCACAAGAAAUCAUAGACACCAUGAAAACAAAGCCGACUGUAAAUUCUUUUUCCCAAUACUAAACACGCAGCAUAAACUGAAUAUAAAGGAGCUUAAAUUGUUAAAGUUUGAAAAUUGAUGCCUGAUAAUCAGACACAGACCCAAUGAUAAGAUAAUCUCAAAGUACAAACCUUUGAGCAAGAAAACUCAACUUCAGAGGAAAUAAGAAACAUACAGAGAUAGAGAGAAGAACCAAAAAAUAAUGACAACAAGAGGUGGAGAAAUGUUAAAAAAUGUAAAAACUCCCAAUCUUCUAUUUUGUUUCCAUUGGAAAACCAUGACCCAAAACACGUCAAACAAAAGAAAACAAAGAGGGAAAAAAAAUGAUGAAAGAAAGAGAGAUCUAGGCACCCAAAAGCAUAAUAGGCAGAAAGGAUAGAGACCCACCAUUGAAAUGAUGAAGAAAAACAAUGGGUAUCCUUUUGUCUUCUUUCAGAACUGAACUGAGAGGUUGUUCACAGUUGGCUUCAGGCUGCAGAAGAGAAACAAGAAAAGUGUCUCUCUUGAGUGAGAAGGUGUGAAAGGUGGGAGAAGAUUGGAAGAUGAAGCAAUAACAGAAAAACAAAAGGUUGAGGAGGGAUGCUUUUGUUUUUUAUUCCUUUUAGUUGUUUAUUUUGUUGGUGUGUGUCUUUCUCUCUCACUAGAAUAGAAUAGAAGUGAGUUUGUGUUUCUCUGUCUAGGGAAGGGGCUGUGUGUGACUGACUGGGGAACUAAAGUGGUGUUGGAGAUAGUUAUGGUUAGCUUUUGCUUUCUCUUUUUGAUUUUUGGCAUUUGAAUGAGUGAGAAGAAGUUAAUGAUGGAAGGUAGUAGUAGCAUAGUACUACACUUUGUUCACAGAGACACACAGAGAGAGAAAGUGGGGCCAUGCAUGUUCCUUCUUUGUGGUACACUGCUUUUCAAAGGUGGGACUCAAUCAAACAAAGAAAGUGAAUGCCCAACUCUAACCUAUUUUUGUGUUUUUUUUUUCAAGUAUCUCUGUUUUCAGAUUCUGGUAUUGGCACGUGCCAAUCACUCCCGUCAAUUUUCUUUCACUUAUUUAUUUUACUCUUUAAUAUAUAUUUUACAACUACCAUUAAUAUUUUUUACAUGAUAAACAAUCUGAAAUUUACAUGUUUGGAUUAUAUAUUACAGGUAAUACUUACAUUGGGAUACGCCAUUAAACAUAUUAUUAACUCCUUAAGAAUAAAAUAGUUCUUUGUUUUCAUUUAGAGUAGUUCUCAACUCAAACUUUUUAUAUUAAAAAGUUCUCAAUUUAUUAAUUUAAACAAAUAAGAAAAAUAUAAAUAAAAUAAAUUUAGAAAAUUGGAAUAAAUAAUUUAUAAAAAAAAAUCAUUCAGAAAGUCAUUACGAAUAUAAUCUGAAAGAAACCAUUAUUGAGGAGGUUCUGGAGAUUUUGUCUUUUUGUGGGUUUAUUUAUUUAUUCAUUCCUUUAUUUAUAUUUUGGUGAAGAUGGAUAUUCGGAAUGCUGAAGAUAUUAGGGUUUGGAAGAAUCCUCUGAUUGGCUUAGCUUCGUUGCUUGCUGUUCCUAAAUGCUUUUCAGCAUAUUCUUUUAUUUUCUCUUCUUUUCUUUCUAACCCUAAUCAACAAAUCUUAUACUAUAUUUUCAUUAUUAUUAAGUUUAAUUAUGUUUAAAAUUAGUAAUAAAUUUGGAAUUUUUUAAUAAUUUUAUAUUUUUCAAUUGAAUUUCAUUAUUAAACUUUUAUAUCAGUAGUGUAACUUUUAAGUAUUGUUAUCACCUUACUCAUUUAUCACCAUAUGUUAUUGUAUAAUUUUAUAAAUGUUACGACAACUCAACAAAAUUAACAUAAGAAAAUAACCAUCAUAUUAAUCACUUAACAGUCAUAUAAUUUAAUUAAUAAAAGAAUUUAAAAAUAAAAACUCAAUUAAACAAUAUAAAUUCAUUGAAUCAUAAAAUAAAAUAAGAACUCAAAUUAAAGUUUAUAAAUGUAGCUCAAAACCUAAUUAAAUUGUAUUAUUAUAAAAUUAUUAAUAUAAGGUAUAUUUCAGACCAAAAUUAUCCUAAAUUUAUGGUGAUUGUUUUUGUUACAUUUACUGUUGAAAAAACAUCUUGUUUGUUUAUGAAAAACACCUUAAAUACAUUAUUAAUUGUUUCUAUGUUGAAUAAGGUUAAGCUAUGUAUCAAUUAGAAAUUAAAUAUUUUGUAAGAUUUUAAAUUAAAUAUGAUAAUAAAAUUAAAAAAAAUCUAAUAACGAGAAUAAUAAUUGCCUAAAAAUAUUAUUAAAAUAAUAAAUAAAUAAAAUAAAGUAUUAAUCACAAGUAAAUUAUUUUAUUUAUUAUUCACUUUCCACUUUCUACUUUUUUCUUUUUUCUUUUUCCAGUUCUCUAUUUUCUAUCAAUUAAUCCAAACGAAAACAGAUGGUAUGUUCUCAGCACUUAUUUUUAACAACAAUUUUCGCGUUUAUUCUUACUAUAAGUGAUUCAUGACCAACACAAAAAUUGUUAUACAUGGUUAAUUUCCGAGUCUUGUUUUUUGAGAUUUUUUUUUUGUAAUUUUCAAAAUUAAAGACAACAUUAAUUACUAUUUUAUCAUCAAUACUUUCAUAUUCAUGAGAGAUUUAUUACAAUAAAAAAGCUUACCAAUAUUUUAUUAUAAAAUUCUUAGAUUUUAAAAAAAAAAAAUCUUAAACUACGCUUAAAAAAAGCCAUCAACUAAAGUUGCAAGAAUAAAAUAAUUGCCUUGAAAUUAGUUUCAUUGUAAUGACGAAAAUACUUUCUUGGCCAUUAAAAUGCUAUUGCAGAGUACAUCAAUGAUUGUUGUUCAUAUUUCCCAAUGAGAUGCUUGUUUUUAGAUAAGCAAUUACAAAUUUAAAUUAAUAAAUUGAUUAAUAACAAAUACUUUUGUAUAAUUAUAAUUAAAAGUAAACAUAUAAUAAAGUUGAGGAAAAAGAAAAGUCUCAAGUCAAAACAAGUUAACAUUUCAAUGCAUUACUCAAACUUGAACUUCAUAUUUAGACAACAUAUUUUUAAUAAUAUUUGAACAUUAUUUACGUAUUAUUUUGUGAUUGGUCUAAAAUUAUUUUAUAAUCAAUAAUAAUCAUAAACAUCAUCAUAAACCAAUUACAGAAUAAUAUGUAUAUAAUAUUUAAAUGUUAUAAAAAAAUAUUGUCUAAAUAUCGUUAUCCGAACGUAAAUAACCUUAUAAGUCGUACUUUCUUGAAAAAGAAAUCUUAAACCAAAAGUGUAAUUAAACUAAAAAUAAAAUGGACGCAAUAUUUAAAAUAAAAGCUUGACCAAACUUGAUGAGGGUUAUACCAAAUUAGGUGAUGAGAAAAUAGAUAAAGGUAUUCAAACCCCACCAUGUGAGUUACCUUACACCCGUCAUUUUUCUUCUAUACUGACAACGUAGGUUGGUGUGUUAUGUCAAAAUAUAUAUACAUUUCUGAAAAUUCAAAGAAACCACAUUUUAAUGCAUGUUAAUACGUGUUUGCUUCUGCUAUUAUUUAAAAAAUCUUUUUUUCUUCUGCACAUCUAGCUUUGUUGUUUAAAUGGAAUCUUAGGUGGAGUUUAAGAUCAGAUAAAAAAAAGUAAAACUAGUACUGUUUUGUGAUUUUUAAUAUUCUUUAUUUAAUAAUAAAAACGUAUUCAAUAUAUCAAAGAAGGAGUGCUAACAUGGCUUAAAAAACUAUAUCUACUAGUCAAAAGGAUUUUAAUUCUACAAAGAAAAUGGUAAUAAAAGUCAAGAUAUGACAUAUUUUUACUAGUAUAUUUACUAAUGAAAAAAAAAAAAAAAAGAGGUAAUUAUUAGUUCACAUUUUGCAUUGAUGAACCUAUUCUAAUACGUUCAAUCCUCAAGAUGAAAAGAUGUCUUAAGGUAAUGAAUUUUGUGAGAACAUUGAUAAUUAAGGUGGAACGUUAUUAUAUAGUUGAAGAAAGUGAAUAUUUUUUUAUUGGAAAUGUUAUGUAAAAAAUGGGAGAAUAUAUAUGAGUUGUAAGUUAUUCACUUAUUUCAGGAUGUUCGAUGAAAAUCCAGCCAAUAAAACAAUGACUAAGAGGAAAGAAAAAAAAUAAACAUGAAAUUUUAAUUAAAUAAUUAUAAUGUUAAAUAAUUAAACUUUUUUGUUAGCGUUGAUGGUCACUCCUCAAUCUCUGUAAGAGUUGUGCAACUUAGCUUUAUACUUUAUAGUUAAACAUCCACCAAUAGCAUAUAUAUAUUUUGAUACGUAACCGAAUUAGAUGAUAGUUUUUGAGUGAAAAAAAAAAAGUUAGGUAGAAGAAUGGAAGAAAUUUGAAUACAUUUCUCUUAAUUUAUAUAUUUUUUUAAUUAUGUUUCACUUGAUUAAUUUUAAUUAAUCAUGGAUUGAUAAGUUAAUUCUCAUUAUGGAUUUAAAAGAGGUGUGUUAGAUUUUCAGUAAGUAAGCUUCAAUUCCAUCCAUAUCCGAAUGACUUUUUCUCAUUCACAAUUCUAGUAUUUGGUAAUAAGAAGAAAAACAAAAUGUUUAAAAUAUUAUGAACUAAAAUAAUUGCUAAACAUUAAAUAAAAGUUUUAAGAAGUAAAGUACAUUAACUGAAUGAAUAAGAAGUUAAUACAUUAUAAAGGCAAGGCUACAGGUAACAAGUACAAGCACAGGCUAGUGAACUAAUUAACGGCUAAGCAAUUAUUCAAUUAUUACUACCAAACAACCUCCAUUUUCACUAUUUGUCACUUUUUCUUGAAUUAUCAGCUUCAAUCGGAUUUAAAUAUAAUCUUCUUAUUUUUUUAAUUUAAUAUUUUCAUAAUGUUCGACAAAUUAAUUUAUCAAAAAUUGAAUUGAUAUGAGUAACUUGAUAAAUAAUUUUAUAUAAAUAAUUGUUCACAAAUUUACAUCAUUAUCACUUUUAUCCUCAUUAAGUUAUCACUUUUAUCCUCAUUAAGUUAUGUAUAAAUUAUUGUAUUCCUCUCUCGUAUUCAGUAUUGAUGCGUGGUAAAUUGACCAAAUCUCUAUCUAUAUAUAAAUAUAUUGAAUCCCAAACGGGAAACUAAACAUACAAUUAAACAUUGAAGUAAUCACAUAUCCAACAUAAAAAAAUUACAAUCUAGAACAAAAUCUAUAAAAAAGUAAAUUUAAACAUCAAAAUAAUAAUAUAGGAGCGAGAAAGACCAAUAACAAUUGACACUAAUGUUCCGAAUGAUAUAAAAUUCCACUACACAAAAAUUGAACAUGGACAAAAAUACAAACAAAAUAUUAGUUUUAGGAACCAAAACAAACGAAAAAUAACCUCUAAGGUGGAGAAUCAAAAUAGCGAACGAAAGAAGAGGUUUGAGAUGAUUUUUGAACGGUGAGAAUGGUUGAAGAACCUUCACGAUGGCAAUGAAGGCACCAAAAACAACGUUGAGCAGUCUCAAAACAAGGAAACAAGGUGCAACAAGUGGGGCAUAACGUUGUUUUGAAUUCAUAGAGGAGAAUGAAGAAAAAAGAAAUUGUUUACCCUUUGUCUUUCAUUUUCUUUUAACUUGGCAAACGAUUCUACCUCGGUUCUAAAGAAAAUUGCUUUAGUUAAUAAUGAACUGAAGCAUAUAUUUUCGUGAAAGUUUCAAAAAUGCCAUUACGCCAUGUUAUGUUGUGCUUUCUUGAAAACUGAAGAAUAAUAAGCACAUUAGUAUUUCCUUUUUUACUAGUGUAUGUAGGGAACAAAACCAUACAAUUGUGCAUUGUCUUGGAAUGAUGACCAUUUGUUUCUAAUGGAUCUUACCAUGAAUCACAAAUAGUUAGUUCAAUAAUUAACCGUACUUUGUGAAAUAUUACAUUAAAUAACACAUACCCAUCAAUGUACGGUGCAAGGUACAUAUCUCUUUUUGACUCAAACAUCCAUGUGUACAAAUAAGUUUGCUUGUGAUUAAGUGUGUUUCAAUAAGAUUGAAUGGUCUAAGGUUCAAUAAAUCCAUAGAUGGAAAUCCAACAUUGGUUAACAAUGAUUGUGUCUAUGUACCUAUAACAAGAAAAUUAAGUAUAAAUUAAAAAGUAAAAAUUCCAUGAUUUAAAUAUGGAAUACAGUGAAAAGUCUUACAUGCAUCGUAGUUGUAUGAUUGAAAUGUUCAACAUUUUGUCUCGCCCAAUGAUCUCUAGUGCAUCAUUUAGAUUAAUGUACAAUGAGACAUGAUACCAGAGGCCAAAUAUUAACUCUCACUUUAACACUAGCAGUUCUCUAUUCAACUUGUUUAAUUUUUUUAGGAGCUUUCCUAGAACAUCAUCUUCUACUUUUUGCCAUGUCAUCAUCUUCAUGGAUAACAUGUUGACACAUGACCUACAUUUUAAGAUCUGAGAACUAAAAUAAAGAUUUUCAAAGGUAUGGAUCAUUUAUUUAUAAAUUAUAAGAUAAAAAUACUAAGAAUAACAUUAUAGUACCUAUGGUGGGACAAAGUAUGACAUGAUAAAUGCUUUAAGCCAAGUUAUAAAUAUGCACAGGGCCUCCCUUAUGAAUUGGAUUUCUGAAGUUAGCAUAGACACUCAAGCAUAGGGAUCUCGAACUUCGUCAAUCGUCACACGAGUGGGCAGUAGUGGAGCACCAUGGAUAAUUUGUUCUCCUUCAAAUUGUCGUCCUAUGACCACUACAUGCAAAGGAUCUCCAUCAACCAAUAGCUCAUAUUGACUUGUGUAGUUAGUAUGAUCUACAUCAGAGCAUGAGUCUUUUGUGCUCACACAACGUCCAGUUGGAACUUCAGUAGGUAACUCAAUAUUCUGUUGUUCCUCAGUUACUCAAUUCUAUACGAAGAUAAAUUUUUAAAAGUUGAAAUAUAAAAUAUAUUUCUGAAAGAUAAAUUAGACCUGUUGAUUUAAUAUUUUUAUUCUUUGAAAAGGUAUAAUUUAAAAAUAAUUAUGUGUAUAUAUUAUGUUUUAACAUAAUAUAUAAUGCUUUAUCUAAUUAAGCAUUAUAGUCAUUCAAUAUUGUUUAUUUUAAUAUAUAUUAUUUAAUAAUAUAUAAAAAAUAAAAUUAAAAGAAAAAUAAAAUAAGCUUUUAUUUUCAUAGAUUAAAAUGUUAUACUUAAACUAAAAGAAACUAUAACAAAUAAAAUUGAUUUACAAAAAAAGGUUCAAUUUUAUUUAUUUUUUGUGGAAUUGAAAGAUUAGUGUGAUGGAUUCCUGUUACAAAAUUUGAUUGAUUUUAUAUAUAAAAACAAGUUCGGCCUUUAGUUACCUGAAUGAUAGAGAUGGGUCCAUUAUUGUGGGGCUUGGGUGAAUGAGGUACAUCAUUAUGGAAAGAUAAGUUAUGAAUGGAGAGAAUACUUACAACUUGCUUUAUACAAACUCAUCAAUAAUUAAUAGUCAUAUAUAUAUAUUUAUGCAUCUUAUUUAAAUUCGUUUUGAUCAUAACAUAUUCAUUUUAUAUCCACCAAAGUUUAACAAGAAAAAUAAACGUAAAAUUUUAAUUCAAAUGGAUUAGCGAAGAAGAAAGUGAAGAAAGACAUGGAUUAAUUAGAACCUUAAUGUUAACGUGAUACAUGUUGAAUAAACAAAUUAUAAAAAAAUAAAUUUUAAAUCUAAUUUAAUUUUAUAAAAUUGUAAGGUGAGUAAUUAAAAUGUAAAAGAAUAAAUUUUAAAUCUAAUUCAAUUUUAUAAAAUUAAUUCGUAAAAUGAAUUUUACAUAUUUAUUAUUAUAUUGUAAAUUAAUUUUAUUUUUAAUUAAUGUGAAACUUUUAAUAUAUUUUUUUAUGAUAACAUAUAUAUUUCAAACGUGUGACUUGUGACUUGUUAUUACUGAAUAAUAUAAUAACAACAUGACGAGUGAAAUGAUAGUUAAAAAAUAAUAAAUUUUAUUAAGAUAGAUUUUAAUCUAUAACUAUUAAACUUUAUUAAAAAAUAAAUUUUAAGUCUAAUUAAAUUUUAAUUACAUAACUAACUUGUAAAGUAAAAGUUUAUAUCUGUUUACAUCUAAAAGAUGUCGAAGUUUAACAUAGAGUAACAUGUAACAUGACAUGAUACUCUCCAAACAAGGUACAAGGAUUGUUCUGUGAACGAGAGUGGCAGGUACAGGUAGCAUUGUAUGGUUCAUAGACAAGCAAUUCUGAACUUGAAACUGAGUACUGUUGGCUUGAACAGGACCGUUGAAGUCAGCAUCAACUGUAUGCCAAAAUUUACUGCAGACUGUGGUUUCUUUGGAUCCAUUUCUUGUCUACCACAAUAGUAAAUAUGGCUCUACCAAAGUUUUUAACAUUUUGCUCGAAAAACUAAUAUUUGUCCUUCUCCUAUGAUGCUAAUUGGGUCCAUUCUGCACAAUUCUGCAGACCAUUUGGUGCAAAUGUUUAAUUAUCAGAAAUUUGAUUCUUAAUUAUAUAUAAUUAUGCCUAAGACUCAAAACUUUGAAACACCACCCAUGAUAACAGAAAGUGACAUCAACCGAGUGAGAAAUAAAUGGUACAUAAUUUUGAUUCUUAAAAUAAAUGCAUGGUGGCAACUAGAUAUUUAACAGAAAAAAAUGAUAGAGAUAUUUAAUAAUUGCAUGAGAUGUGAAAAUUGUUAAAAGGAAAAAGACAUUGGAGAGAAGUGGACGUAUGCACGUGCAUGGAUGAUGAUGAUGGCAUGCAGAAUUAAGGAUCUUCAUAUUUUCACAACUAUUUUUAAUAAAUUUUUUACAACAAGACACGUGAUAUCAUUUUAUUGGUCUGUUUGAAUUUAUAUUCAUUUGAAACAGACCAAUCACAAGCUAUCAGUUGUUAAAAAAUAGUUGUUAAAAGAAUUUUUUCCUAUAAUUAAGUCUAAGUGGCAAUGCAAAUUUGGAAAAUCGAUGAGAGCAUAUCUAUACUUUUUUUAAUAUUUUUUUUAUUAUUUUUUGAAUGUAUUUUCUAUUUCAUAUCUAUAUGAUUUUAAUAAUUUAUGAAUUUGUUUAUAUAUAUAUAUAUAUAUAUAUAUAUAUAUAUAUAUAUAUAUAUAUAUAUAUAUAUAUAUAAGAGGUAAGAAUACAAGAUAUAUCUAUACAAGAUAUAUGAAGAGCACAAAGAUGUUAUUCAGGAGUAAGAUGAUGUUCUUGAAGAGUACAAAGAUCUUGUUCAAGAACAACAUGAAGUAGGUCCACAUGAUACAUCAUUUUUGACGAGUUAUGUUGAUCAUCUUGCAUUCAUGUAUAAUAGUACAAUAGUUGUUUUUUUUUUUUAAUUUUGAUGACUAAUGAGUUGUUUGAACUUUAUAUCCAAUUAUUUUGUCUAGGAUUGAUGAGAGAUCAAGUUGGUUUUCCAUGAAAAAAAAAAUUAAACAAACGUGGAAUAUGUCAUUUGGUUGUUAAAAAUUUUGUGUUGAAUUCUGGUUUGAAUAUGCCAUAUUUCUCACUCUCAUGUUGAUAAGAGUUUAAUAUUGAUGUUCCUUGAAAUAUGGCAUAGAGAGACAAAGAGUUUCCAAAUAUGACUACUUCCUUAAAUGAAUUUCAAAAUUUGACGACUUCUUUCACCUGAUUUCAAAAGUUCGACGAUUUCCUAAUCGAAUUUUGAAAUCCAAUGACUUCUUAAUCGAAUUUCGAAAUAUGACAACUUUUUUAAUCAAAUUUUAAAAUCUAACUAAUUUUUUAAUCAAAUUUUGAAAUUUGAUCGAUGAAUAAUUUAACUAGUUUCAAAAUUUGGUAAAUACCUUAAUCAAAUUUCGAAAUUUGAUGAUUUUCUAAACUGAAUUUUGAAAUCUGAUGACUUCUUAAAUGAGACUGCAAAAUUUCGUAACUUUUUUAACCGAAUUUUGAAAUUCAAUUAUUUCCUUAGCUAAAUUUCAAAAUUCUAUAAGUUUUCUUAACUAAAAUUUGAAGCCUAAAUCAGAUUCCUUAAUUUUCUAAAAUAGAUUUUAAAAUUCAGUUAAUUUCCUAAAUAAAAUUAGAAAAUUCGAUACAUCCAAAACAUAAUAAAAAUAAAUAUAAAAUUUUAAACCUUAACGAAUAAAAUUGCUUAUACCUAAAAGGUACGAGAUGAAAUAAAGAAGAGGAUGAAGGUGAUCAGAACAAAGCGGUCAAACACCAAAAUCAAAAGUUUUCCUCUUCAAAAACUAGCCCAUCAUAUUUCCUCUACAAUCAACCAAUCUGCAUACAUUUCUCUCAUUCAAUACCAAUACUAUUACAUAAAUUUUCAGUUUUAGGUCAUUUUUUAUUUAUUUUUUAUUAUGAGUUAAUAUUGGUCUUCAAAGAUAGAAGAAAUUUUAGAGUAAAAGCACAUUUUCAUGGUAUAUGAGUACAUAUUUUAUCCACACACAUAAUAUAAUUUUUUUGCCCACACAAUGGAAAUAAAUAUUAAUGUAUCUUAACAAAAUUUUGUCAAGAAGGUUCGUGUUAAAAAAUUUGGGCCAGACUAAAGGGUUUCAUUGGAAGUUUCUUUCUGCACUUUCAUAGUUUCAAUUGACAUCCCAUAGAUAUUAAAAUUCUAAAUUUAUCUUCUAAUUUAGGAUUUUAAUUUUUUGUUUUGAAUUGUUUAAUCCAUAAAGUUUUCAAAAUAUCCUAUUGAAAAUAUAAAUUACAUAAUAUAAAAUAUUAAAAAUAUAUUUUAGAUUGUAGAGUUCAAAAUACAAAUUUUACAUUUCGUAAUAAACAAAAUUUACUUAAAGUAUUCUUUAUGUGAUUUUUCAUGUAUAAACAAAAUAUACUCUAUGUAAUUUUUAAUGCAAAUUUUAUAUACUUUGCCAUUUUAAUCAUGUUUCUGUUUUUUGUUAAAUACUAUUCUGCUACUGUGAAUUUUGACUUCUAUGUAAUUGGAAAUGCCUUUUCUACAUUAACAAUUUAUGUGUCGAAAAAAAAGAGGAUAAAAAUGAAGAAAAUGAAAUGUGGCAUUAAAUUAAUAUUGUCAAUUUAAUUAAUAUGUAACGUGUGGAACAUUAAAAUAAAUUAAUACGGUAUGAUGUAAAUUCAAAUUUAAAAUUGUAUAGGAUUUGGUAUUUUCUUUUUCUUAAAAGAGUUUUUAAUGAAACUCUCCCGGGUAGAAUAAAUAAAAUUUCCCAUUUCCCUCAACAAAUGGAUCAUAUAAGUAAUAUUUUCUUCUUUUUAUUUUUAUUUUUUGUUGAGACUUUUACACAAUAAAUAUAAUGAAUUUUUUACUUUCUAAUUGAUAUUUUUAUUUUUACUUCAUGAUAAGAUAAAUAGAGUUGAACAUACUUAACUAAACUAUAUUAAACUAUAAUCAACUAUAAUUUUAAUAAACUAAAAAAAUGAACUAUUUAAUAUAAACUAUAUUGUUUAACAGUUAUUUAUAAAAGUUAAACUUAUAUCAAUUAAUUAAUAACUGAACUGCUCAAUGGACGGUAUCAAUUGGUAAAACAGUGUUUGCUUUUGUUAAAAAUAAUACUUUCUUGGAAGGGUUGAGUUUGUUGGGUUAGAAGAACUUAUUACAAGAUUUUUUGUUUUUUCUGUUCAAAUUUUCCACGUAGUCUUUAUUGCAGAUAUUUUAUUUUGAGUUAAAUAUAUUUUUUUUUAUCUUUUAAGAUAAAUUAUAUAUUUUUAGACUUUAUAUAAAUCAUAUAAAUUAUUUAUGAGAUUAAAUGAUAAAAAUAAAAUAUCUCUGCAAUAUAAUAAAAUAAAAAUAAAAAUGAUGAGAUCAUUAUCAUGAUUAAAUAAUCAAAUAUUGAACAAUUUAUAUUCUUAUAUUAAAAACCUAAAUUAUUUGGAACCAAUAUUAUUAAGAAAGUAAACUAUCGAAAAUUUAAGAUUAUGAUAAAAAUUAGAUCGUGAGAAUAAGUAAUAUUUUGGGUAUGAGGUCGAGUCACUUCCAACACUUACAUAAUUUCUUUUUUAGUGUCGUUGAUAGUUCCCCAAUCUAAUUUUUGUGUCUGCUCCACCGUUUGGAGUUAUACCUGCUGAAGAUUCUUCGAUGCAAGUUAUAUAAUCGUCUGUAUGCAAGUUUAAUGCAAGGGUAUUAAAUGUACUAUAAAUGCGAUCACCUACAGUAUUUAUAGUUUUUAAUAUGGGCUUAAGAUUAGUGAAAUUUCAAUCUGGCUCAAUCUCAGGCUAAUACUCCUAAUUACCAUUUACCUUAAUCCUUGUGAGGAAAACUUGUUUAUUAAAUGAGGUCGGACGUCCCUGAUGAUCAAUCCUACCUGCUGGUUCGACUAUAGAGUCGUUCAGUUUGGUUGGUGUGAAAUACUGUUAUGUAGAAUUGUCCGGCCUAUACGGUACAAGUAAUAAUUCAAAUUAUAAUUAUAAUAAGGAUUAAAUAAAAUAUUCAAAAUAUGUAUAAUAAAAUGUUAUAUUUCUUUAUAUAUUUGUAUAUAUAGUACAAUUUUUAAUUUAUAAAUAAUGUAUAAAUAAUAAUAAUAAUAGAAAAAAGCACUAAGUGUUCAUAUUUUAUAGUUAGAAAACUUGAACUUUCUCUGUUCACAAUUUACGAAUAAUUUGAGAGGAGGGAAUAAUGGAAAAACCAUAAUUGGAGACUAGGGAAUAAUGAAAAAACCACCCAUAUUCUCAAACAAUUAACUGAACUUAAAUUAACUUAGUUUACAAAAUAGUAUAUUUAAUUUUACUAUGGAUUAGUUUUUUAAAAUGUAAUAUAGUACAGUUAAUUAUAGUAUAAAUCAAUUAGUUUUGUCCACCCACAAUAAGUACACAUAUAUAAUUAAUUGAAAAUCAAUGAAUAAUAGUUAACUAAAUAACUAAUGUUGUCUCAAAUUUUAAAAAUAAUAAUUGAAAAGAAAGUUUUUUCAAAAUCCUACAAAAUCCUACAUAUAUAUAGAAAAAGUUAUAAUAAUAAUAAUGUAUGAAUUGUUUCAUCCUUUACCUCCAAUAAUUUCAUUUUGCACUUCUAUUUUUUUUUUUUAAUUUCAAAAUUGUUCUUUGUAAUUCAAAAACUUAUACAUUCUAUUUUUUUGCUUUACCAUAUUUCAAAAUUCAAUAAAAAAAAAUUUCAUCAGACAUCGAAAUCCGACGAAGGAUUUCUCAAUAUUUUUUAUAAUUUGAUAAAGGACAUUUUCUUUAUCAAAUUUUGAAAUUCAGUGAAAGAUUUUUUAUUUUUUUAUUAUUUUAAAAUACAUUUUGAAGUUUUUGAAAAGUUCUUCAUUUUUCGAUAUUCAAUGAAAAAAUGAAAAAUUUUCAUCAUAUUUUAAAAUCAAAUGAAAAAAAAUCCUUCAUCGAAUUUUUAAAAUAUAAUCAAAUGAAAAAAAUUCGAUGAAGAAAAAGUUCUUCACAAAAUUUCAAAAUAUGAUGAAGAAAAAUAUAAUCUCUAAAGUUAUUUUUGAAAAUUGGAAGGUGAAAUAAUUAGAGUUACCACCAAAAGUAUAGGUGUAAAGAUGUUACAGUGAAUUUGAGUCCAUAGACUGGCCUGAAAAAGCCCACUAAAAGGGUCCGAGUAGAAAAAAGAAAGGUAGUUUCUUUUUGCACCUACUAACUUUAUCUAAGUAUCUUCACUCUCUUUUUUUUCAUUUAUCUUUUUUAAUCAUACAAUUUAAAAUUAAUUUUUAAGUUUUGGAUUACAUAAUAAAAAAUCAAAACAAUCUUUUUUAUUGAAAGUCAAAAAUAAUGUUUGAAUUAUAAAAUAUGAAAAUGAUUUUUAUAUGAAAAAUUAGUUUUUGAAUUACACAAUUCGAAAUUUAUUUGAUUUUCAUAUUACACAGUCCCAAAGUCAUUUCUAGAUUUUGGAUUGUAUAAUUUGAAUAUUCUUUUGAAAAUAUUUUUGGCCAUAUUACGCUCGAGAAAGGAAAAUGGGAGAUUUUUUUUUUUGGAGGUGCAGAAAGAAUGUUAUGGAGGUGCAUAAGAUAUUGAGCCAACUAUUUUCUAAAAUGAGUCUAAAUUGAGCCAUAACUAUAUUUAAAAAAUUAGUUAUCAGAAUUGUUAUAUCUAAAAAAUCAGAAGUAAUUUCUUAAAUUUGCCGUAAAUUAAAAAAUAUACAUAUUUUUUUUAUGAAAGUAUAAUUAGGUAAGUCAUAAAAGGAGAGAUUAUUUGGGUGAGAGCAUAGGAGUUUCCAAAUAGAGCAUAAAAUAAUAUAGUAGUAGGAAGAGGAUGAUAAUGCAAGUUGCAGAUAUCUACGUUUCCUUCCACUUGCCAUGUGAUGUGCUGUCUGUGUGGAACUUUCCUGUCCAUUUAUGUCCAUAUUAGCUGUCACCCUCAAUAACCACACUCACCUUUUCACCAAAUCUAACAUAAAGGGAUUUUUAUCUUCUACAAAUAAUAUUUUCAUAAGAAUUUUAUGAUCCAACAUCAAAGCACAGUGCCUAUAAUUUAUUCAUAUAUUAAAAAUUCCAAUCCUCUGAUACAAUAAACCAAGAAAUUUCCCUGUACAAUAAGAAAAUUCCCUUUUUUUUUUCCAUCGAAAUAGGUGGAACCCCAAAAUUCUUCAUAUUUACACUUCAAAAUAUAACUCAAAAUAGUGAGAGUGAGAGCAAUAAGAGCUUGCCGCCAAAAAAUCCCAGCCCUUAUGAAGAACUUAGAUCCCAUGCAGAAGAAAUGAAUUAUCUUACCUACUUGAUGGCAUAAGAACGAGUACACACUGAUUCAAGAGCCUCCGUGAACAAGGAAGAGAAACUGGUCAAUGCCUGAAACACACCAGGCAACCCUGUCUGCAAAUUGUUCAGGGUCAUGGCUCUUGUUACCUCCACAGCUUUUGAAUGCCUCAGCAUUUCAUCUUCAACGCGCCUUUGGCAGGUUGCCAGUUCCAGUUUUUUCUCCGCCAGUGGAUCGCGAGCAUCCAGACCCUGUCCAUUGUCAGCUGCUGUAUCAGGAAGGCUAAUUCCUACCAUAGAAUAUGAACUGUAGAACUUCCUCUCUAGGUUUCUCACAGAGGAAGCCUUUUUCUCAAGUUCCUUUGAUGCUGUCUCGGUUCUUUUCUUCAUCUUCAGCUCUUCAGUUUGCUUGGAAGAUAUCACAUGGACAACAUUGAUAAAGCUCUUUAUGGCUUCAGAUGCAACCGUGUCUGGAACACGGUCAAGUGCCAGUUUCCAUUCAUCAAAAAAGUGGUAUGUAUCAGAGUUGUCCCUGCUGUUGUUGAUGUUAUCAUUGUCCACUGGAAGAAGACUGAGCUUGAACCAGCCAUGCAAGGAAUGGAUGAACUCCCGCUGAAAUUUUAUCAGGCGACAAAAACUUGAGUGCCAGGCUGACACGGCUGCUUCCAGGUCCCGUGUAGCCUGCCUGUGCAGUUCAGAAGUGGAGUCACCUCUUGAAGAUCUGUUCACAAGGCCACGGACUUGCUGCACUAUGUUGCUUUGAAUUUCAUGGUAAUUAUGCAUUGCUUUCCACAUGUACAUAAAUCUACAAUUUCACAUGUCACAAUUCACAAACAUAAUAAGACAACAACGUUAUCUUGAUAAGUAAUUGUUGCUGGGAGACAAAUUUUUAAUGCAUAAAAUUCAGUACAAAAUAUAUAGGGAAUGACAGAUAAUCUAAAUUUCACUCCCACUCGGCUCAAUAAUCAUCUGCCACAUUGAACGUUCACACAGAAUGUGGAAACAUCUUGCUUUCAUGCUAUCUUACACUACCCACAACAUAUACAACAUAUCUUACUGCAAAAUUGACCCUGAUUGGUUAUUUGGAACAGUAAAACGGAAACAGAUGAAUAUCAGUAACAUCAGUGUAAGUUUUUACAGCUUAUAACACCCAGUCAAAUAGUUUAGAAUCAGUUAACAAGGGUUAUCCCAUUGUAUGGUUUAACAUACCUACUCCAUCCAUAAAUUAGUUAUGCUCGUAUGGAGCCUAAAAAGACAAAAUAACAUUCCGACAGAUGCACUGGUGGGCCAAGGUUUGAUUAUAAGAGGUAGGCAGUUGUUGGACAGUUUAGUACAAAGAAGCACAUGCAAUUACGCAGAGCUGAUAAAACAAGUGGCAUACGAGAGCGGUAAGUCAUAAUGUUUUCAACUACCACCCAAGAUUUUCUUGACCCAAAUUAGGCAGCACAUUCACGAGGUAAAUGAGGGCAUUUGAAAAAGUGAAAAAGCAUUUCAAUUCUUACAGUUAAACUCAAAAGUUCUUUAAUAGGGUUGGUAACUUGUAUCAGCUCAAGGUUCUCUCACAUUCCACCAGAUUAAAUCAACAUUUACAAAAUAUCCAAUGAACAAGACAGCAUGAUCCUAUAUUAUGGUCUCACAACAAGCAGCACAGUCUUCAAGUGUGUUUGAUCAUGAAGCCUAAAUAUGACAUUUAAUUUGUUUGUAAAUGGAUACAAUAAGACCAAAACACUUGAAAUUUUCAUUAGUCCAAAAUACUAGACAAUUUUUGGGAGCCAAUUAAGUUAUUAAAGUUCAUCCAUUACAGCAGUAAAAAUAAGCACGUCAGUGAACUCCCAUAUGCAUGAUUUGCUGUAAAAUUGGAUUAAUAGAUAAUCACCAUAGUUCUUCACUUCUUUGUUGAUUAAUGAUGUAAUAAUGAUCCAAUCUCAUGUACAAGAACUUGAUUAUUUAGCUAUCCACAAAAUGUGGAGCUACCAAAACAGUAAAGCUAUUGAAGAAGAGACAUACCCAUGAAUGAGAGCAACAAGCUGAGGGACCAGAGCAGAGUCCCUAAGGCCAACAAUGGCAGUUGAGGUGGUAGACACAGCCUGAGAAGUGACAACUAUGAGUGACUGCAGCCUAUUUAUGGAAGUCUUGGUUUUGAAUAUCUUAGCUUCAUCCUCUCCCUUGUAUUCCUGAGUCUGCAGAGCUGACAAUUUCUUUUCAUGUUCGAUCUUAACACCUUCUCUAGCCUUAAUUCAAGCACAAUUUGUAGAAAGUGUUAGCAUAGCACACCUCGUUUCCAAACCACAUGCUUUAGGUUUUUAGCUAAAAAUAAAUGCAACAGAACCACCUGACUUCAGUUUGGUAAAAAGGCAGCCAAGUUGGACACAGCAUUUAUGGUGAUUUCAAACAUCCAUGACAAUAUCCUAGGCAUUACUUUAUUUUUUUUUUUCUUUUAGUGCCGUAAGUCUAAAGAAACGUGCCUUUUUCAGUAAGAAUACACACACACAUGUAUAUGUGACAGAAAAUGUUUGCCCUUCACACAUAGACCCAAUUGAAUGUGAACAAUCAAUCACAUGCAAGACAAAAUUUGAAGAAACAGACAACUGGUUUAAUUACUUAAAAUCUGUUAAUCGCUCGGUUCCUCUGUAGUCAGUGGUUUAUCUCACUGAGGUUUAAAAGAGUUAAUUAAGGGUGUGGGCAUUUCAGUCAUUUCAUUUCACACAAAAUAAAUUAUGAAUGAAUCAUAAGCAAACCUGGUUUACCGUAUGACCAAAUAUACACUUAAAUCAUUACAUGACAUGUGUAAAAGCAUUUUGGGAUAAGUAUGUUUCUAUGAUGGAGCAUUAUUUGUACCACAAUAAUAAAGGUUGGUCCCAACAACCGAGGCUAUUUUGGUCAAUUCAAAAUGGUGAAAAAGGGGAAGGAGGUCAUUUUCACACUAAACAGUCAAAUUCUGCUGUGACCUUACGCUACCAAAGUCCAACAUAACCUACACCGUUUCCUUUUUUCCUUCACCUUUUUAUGCUCUCGAAAAAUAUAAUUCAUUUUUCUAAAAAGGGAACCUCUUUAUUAUCCAAAUAACACCACCGCCCUAGAAAUUAAGAUAAAAUUACCUUAACCUCCUCGUACAGCUUUUUCUCCCAUGCCAAAAGCCGUUCUAUGGUGGAGCAAAGACUCUUUGAACCGCCCGGUUCAUCCAGCGAACCGGUGUCCAGCCGGUACUUAACCGCCAGUGGCGGUUUCGAGGUCCAACUUGAGCUCAGAUUGCUCAAUAUGCUGCUCGAGUGAUACACAGUCUCUGCAAAAUCAAAACCAUCCCUUAAUUUUCAAGAAAACUCAAAACCGUGAACUCUUCAUUCGGAAAUUGACCCAAAAGCAUAAAAGCGAAAUCUCCCCAAUGACCAAACACAAACCUCAUAAAAACCCCAAUUAAAUAUCUUUAACACAAAUUCAAAAUGUCCAAUCCAAUUUAAACAUGGAAAUAAAACUUCAAACAUUUCCAAGUUGGUUUUCCAAUUAAAAUUAGAAGCAAAACUUUGCAAACAAGAGUUAGAAAAGAAAAUCUUUACAUUUUUUUAGUACUCUUCUCUUAACAGAUUCAAAGUUUCUGUUUUUCAAUUGUGAUUCGAGACCAACAAAAAACAAUAUUCAAAUAAUCGAAACAAAUUGUUUGAGUUUGUAAAACAUACUCCUCAAUUGUUUGAAGCUGCGAUCGAGCUGAGCCUUACUGAUCUCGAGCAUCUCCGAAACCUGAUCUCCGGCGGAAGCAGCAUUAUCAAAAUUCUCUUUAAUAGCUUCCACGAUCUCCCUCAAGUCCCUGUGCCUCACCACCAUCUUCAUCUCCGCGACGGAGGACGCGGCGUCGAACCCCUUAGCGCCGCCGCCAGCCGCAACGGACUCGGCCCGCAUGGACGACCCGAAAUUCGACCGGGUCCCGAUCUCGGACCUCGACGCCACAUCCUCCUCCACCCCAUCAUCAUCGUCAUCGGAUGAACUCGUGGUGCUGUAAUGAUCCCCCCACUCACUGCACUGAACCUCUUCCCUCUCAGUCUCGGUAUACUCUUCAGGAAGAUGGUGAUGAGAGUGAGAAUCAGAGUGAAUGUGAGAGGGAGAGCGGGAGUGGGAGUAAGCUUUUUGAGUCUCGUGUUUUCCGUCGAAGUAAUCGUAUUCAGAUCUCUCGGAGUCGGAGUCAUGAAUUUGAGGAUUGGUGGGUUGGGUUUUGUGGGAGUAAUGAGAGGCUGUUUGUGUUUUGUGAGAGUGAAGGGAAGGUGUUUGCGUUUGUGUUUGAGUCUGAGCCUGCGAGAGUUUUUGUUGGUGUUGGUGUUGGUGUUCUUCAGGGAAGUAAUCGGAAGCGGGAGGAGGUGGAGGGGGGUAGAAAUUUUCCCAGUUCCAAACAGAGGAGGUUUGGGAAGGGGUGGAUGAGUAUGUUGAAUGCGCAGUGGGGAAAAAGUUCGAAGGAAAAUUCGACGCUUGGCUUCGUGGCGUGGAGGAGGGGCUCGAGUCGGAAAGAAUAUGGGGUAGCUUCGGCGGCGGCGGCUUGCGGCGGCGGUGUUGGAUGGGGGCGAGUUUCGGCGGCGGAGAAGGGUUGAAGGGUGGUGGAGAGUGGUGAGGGUGGUGGGGGUGGUGGCGAGGUGGUGAGGGUGGGCGAGUGUGGUGGAUGGGAGGGGGUGGUUGUUGGGAGUUGUUGAGGAAGACGGCAGGGGUGUGGUCAGAGACGGAGAGGGGUUCGCCGGCGGCGAAGGUGGAGAGGGCGGAGCCGGUUAGGCGGAGGGAACGGCAGUAGUCGGAGUGGGCGGCAGCGAGUUGGUGGCGCGCGUAGACGGCAUCCUUCAUUAGACGGCGGCGGUCCUUGCAACGACGCACGGUGUCCUCGUUUUCUAGCUUGGACGCCGUGCAACCCAUGGUGGCGCGUGGGGGAAGAGGAGUGGGACAAGUCAGUGGUGUUGGGUUUAAGUGAAUGAUGGGGCGAGAGACAUUGUGAGAAGUGAGUGAGUGAGUGAGUGAGUGAAGUGCUUGUUUUGUUGUUUGUUUGUAUCGUCUAUGGAAUUUAUUAAGAAACAGUAGCUUAUUGUUUUGGUGAUAAUGUGACAUUAAAAGACGGUAAUCAUGGUGGGUGAACACUGAUUUAAUACUGCUUCAAUGCUGUCACCUUUUUUUUUACCUUCUAAUUUUAACCUAUGCAUGCAUGCAUGAUCAAAUUUUGAUUUAUAUUAAGUACUUCUAUUACUUGUUCAUAUUUUUUAAUGAGUUAUUCAAAUUGGUAAAUUUUUAAUGCAUUUAUCUCGUAAAUGAUAUUUAUCAAAUAACAUCUAUUCACUUCUUUCACAAGUUCUUUUUAGUGACACUAGGUUCAAAAUUAUUUUCUACUUUGUUUUCAUUAGAACAAAAUUUUUGUUACUUAAGUAAAAUUCUACCCUUUCAACCAAGAUUAACCCAACAUCAAUCUAAACCGUCACUCUCAAUUUUAAUCGAGUAAAAAAAUCUUAUUUGAAUGAAAUUAUCUUAUAAAUAUGCAUUGUACUCAUAGGGACCGGACGACUUGUGUAUCUGUAGGAACUAGACGAUCUGUGUGUGACAUUCAGGCACUGACGAGGGUGGAGAGUGACCGUCAGUGCAAAAGACACGGAUAAGGAGCAACUCCUAGCAGACUUCUAGUGGAAGGGGCACAUGGACGAAUCGUACAUACAUCGGAAUGAGAGGGAUCUAGGCACUGUAUAGGUAUGAGACUAUACGGUUGAAGGAUAGCUUAAAGGAAUUAAUUUGACUACUCAUAUCAACAAAUGCAUUUGUUUUUCGAUAGCUUAUUCCAUAAGAACUCCAUAGUUAAACGUGUUUAGCCUGGAGUAAUUUAGGAUGGAUGACCUUCUACGAAGUCCUUCUAAGGAAGCCUUGUCCAACGUGCUUGGCAUGUUAACCUUAUCUAUAUCGUUCCUAUUCCAACUCAGCGACGACAACGAAUUCAACCGUACCCGGCUAGACAGAAAAUAUGACCAAACGUCCAAAAGAUAAAUUGUGUAAAUAUUAAUGUGGUCCGACCUCACAACCGAAACAUACAUAAUUUUUUCACAACACAAACGUGUCAACAAUAAUAAUAAGUUUAAAAUAGUUCAAAUAAAUAACUUAAAGUUAAAGUUUUAGUUUGAUUAAAUAAAAAAUUGAACUAAUAAUUUAUUGUUUAAUCAAAUAAUUAAGAUUUUAGAAUGAAAUAUCCACAUUAGAUAUUUUUUGUAAAUUAAAAUUAUUAAAGUCUUAUAUCUAUUAUUUUAUAACAACAUUAUGUUAUACAUAACUGGGACAUUUUCUUCUUGUUAUCAUCUUAACAUUAAUUAUAAGAUGUAAAUAAAAGAUAUCUGUGUAAAACUGAAAUUAAAUUCUAAAAAAGGUUUUAAAAUUAAAAGGACCAUAGUGGAAACUACUAAAACUAUAAAGACUAUGAAAAAAAAAUCAAAUUAUAAAAAAUAUACAUAAAAAAAGAUAAAAAUAAUAUUUAUUUAUUUAUUUUUCUCAGAGUUAAUGGAUUUUACGGUAAACUCUCUUGGUACAACCAAAUUAGUUUUUCCAUCCUUCUCCAUUUUUUUUUCCUUUUUAUCCUUAAUAUAACAAAAUAGGUAAAACAAGUAUGCUUCUAUGGUAAAUUACGAAAUAAAACAAUAAUAUGAGGGACAAUUUAUUGGAUUAGAUAAUGUAACUUACAGUAUUAUUAGUGAGUUUUUUUUUCACUUAAUUAAGUUUUUUCAAUUUGUGGUAAAAUCAAUGAAAAAAAAGUUAUCACCCAAGUAGUUCGUUCAACAUAUCAUAUUUUCAUAAUUCAAACUAAGAUAUGAUUGAAUAAUAAGUAAACAAUAAAUUAAAAUCAACUCAUGUUUGAUUGGAAAGAAAAAUAAAAAAAUAAAAAAUUGUUGAUUCCCUUCUCGCAUAAUUUUUGUGUCAGAUUUGGCUUGAAACAUCAGAAAGUCAACUAUAUGGAAUAUUGUUCAUCAAGCUUAAUUUUCAUUGAAAAUGUCUUACAUAAUUUUUUUGUUAUCACAUGCCGUCAUAUAUUGCAAUUGAAAACUAAAGGGAUCAACCCAAAAUAAUUCUUUAAUCAAGUUUAAGAAAAGAAAAUGAUAACUGGACGUUCAUAUACUUUAGUGGAUACGUAGGGUGAUUAAAAAUUAUAUACGUAUAAUAAAAAAAUAAACGAAGUGUUUGAAAAAAAUAUAUAAUUAUCCAUAUAUCUCUUAUCACUCUUAAAUAAAAUAAUUAUUAUAGCAGAAUCGAUAUUUGGGAAUAUUUCAAAUAUGUAAAGGUUUUAUGUGCACUUUUUUUUUUGUCGGCAAGAUUUAUUAUGCUCUUGAACCUACUAGUUUUAUUGUUAUAUUAGCAAAAUAUAAUUUUAAGAAAUUAAAAAAUAAGAAUAGAUUCAACUUUAUCAAGGUAGGUGAUUAUCAUUUUUAGUAUAGAUUCAACUUUUUUUUUAUUCUAUUUGAGUUUAUGUUAUUGGUGUAAAGUUUGAUACAUUAAUUAUAAUAUUACAAAUACCGAUAGAGAAGCAAGUUAAAUUAAGAUAAUGUUUUAAUUUUUGUAAUGGUGUAUAUAUUAUAUACAUAUUGGGAACAUAAAGUUGUAAUAGUUAAAGGAUAAUGAUAUUUUUUGACAACAUUUGAACAUUGAUUAUGUGUCAAUAUGUGAUUGAUAAAAAAUUAUUCCACAAUCAAUAAUAAUAAUUAUAAACAUUAUUAUGGAAUAAUUUUUGACCAAUCACAGAUUGAUACGUAAUUAAUGUUCAAAUGUUGUAAAAAAAAAUGUUGUCUAAAUAUCAUUAUCCAUAGUUAAAUUGUAUACAAUAUUGUAAUGGAGUAUAUAUAAAUAUAGGUUGGCUAGUAGAAUUAAACACAAGAACGAUAUUAAAGUUAAAAUUAAUGGUGAUUAACGUUAAAAGGUGUUUUGAUUAGAAAAAUAAGAAGGAGGUGAUUUGGAAGGCAUUAUGAUAUUUUGAAAAGGCCUUUAAUUGGACGUUAGCCGAUUGUCCUAUAAAAUUAAGGCAUCGGAAUUAUCGACAAAAUCUAGUCAUCAAAUUUGUUUUCUCUGAAAAUUUCUGAAAUUAAUAAAAGAGAAAAUAAUUAAAUUGUUGAUAGUAAUGUUUGCAUUUUGCAGGAAUGAGAAGAGAAGUUGUUUUAAUCUUAUCAAUACAACAAAAAAUGCCUUGCUGUUCCAACCUGUAGUGCCCCACCCACAUACGUCUUUUCCAAUUCAUUCCUACCAUUAAAACUUAAAAAGGGUUAAAUACAUUGUUUAUUCAUCGACUAAUACAAAAUUAGAAUGAUAAUUUGUUAUUUUGAUAUUUUAAUGAAUUUACUCCCUUAUAUUUAAUCACAGGUAUUAUUCACUUAAGUAGAUUUAGAAGAGAGUAAUUAAGAGGAUUUAGAAAUAUUUGAUAAUAAUUUUUUUUUAUUUGAAUAGAUUUGGAGGUAAGUGAGAGUGAAUUUGGAAGUAGUUUUUUUUAAUCUGUCACAUAAAUUAAAUCUUACACUGUUUCUCACAAAUUUUACUUCAAAAUCUACUCUCACUUUCCUCUAAAUCUAUUUAAAUAAACAACAACAAAAAUUACUUUCAAAUCCUCUCAAAAUUUUUUCGAUUACUCUUUCCCAAAUCCACUCAAGUUAACAAGGCCUAAAUUUUGUCUAAAUAAUAUUUUGUAUUGUUUAUACCUAAAUUAAUACGUUUUUAUCAUAUGUUGAUUUUUAAUUUGUUUAAAUGAAAUAACAUUUCUGAAAAAGGAAAAGAUGCGUGGGACAAAAAUUUAACGUUAUUCAGCAUAAAAACUUAAGUUUAUUGUUUUUUAAAGUAUGAGAAUCAAACAAAAUUAAUAUUUUAAGCAGAACUCAUUCUAAUUUAUGUUAUAAUUGAAUAAUCAAAAAAUGUGUUUAAUUAUAGCUUAAAUAGAAUUAGCUCAUAAUAUAUAAUUAAAAACAAUAUUAAUUACGGAUAAUUCUUAUCUUAUAAAUUGAUUUAUAAAGAUAGAAUAGAUUUAAAUUCAAUUUUUAAUUUUUAAUGCCACUUUCAUAUUCUUCAACUUCAUCGUGCUUGCAAGUUUCUUUUCAUAAUACAACUUUCUAUCUUUCAAAUACGUAAAAGAAGAUACAUUAUUCACAUUGUUACUUAAUAAACAAUCCAUCCCUUAAAAUAUAUCUAUAAAGUUAUUAAGACCAAAGUAAAAAUAAAAAUUAUACAAAAACUAAAAGCAUUUUCUUACUUCUCAAGAUAAAUGAAACAUGAUUAAAAUAAUCGAAUUAGGGUUUAUCGCAUUAAUUAAUACAAGUCUAGGGCAUGUUUGGAAGAGACUUAAUAUAUCCCAAUUAUAUAUGACCUUCAUGUGAAUAUACUUUGGUUGUGGAAGGGUUACUUUCAGUUUUUGACGUUCAACUUUUUCCACUUUUUCUUAUGGCAAUCUCGUUUUAUGAAAAAGAUGAAAUAGGUGUAUGAAUAUUCCACCUUUUUUAUGGUAAAGCAAAGGAUAAAAGGAAGAAAAUUCAAAACUAGUGAAACACCAUUUCUUAUCAAUCCCUAUCUUUUCCACUCACUAAAUUUUCUUUCAGUUCAAGACACAUCACAUGCACACCUUUUUUUUUUUCUCUAUAUUUUAUGUCCUAAAAAUAUAUUUUUAAAAAAAGUUAACAUUGUUUUGGCCUUCUUUUACCUUUCUUCUUGGCAUGGAACCCUAGAAGAGGAUCCAAUUCUUCACAAAAGCAUCAUGUUUCUAUCAAAAUAUUCUUUAUCUUAACUUCUUUUUAUUUCCUUUUCUGUUAUCCAAUCUUUCCAAUUUUCCCUCCUUUCUUACUUCUCUCAAGUUUCAAAGAUCAUCUCAUGGAGAGUUUACAUUACCUUUUUCCUUUUGUUAUUGAGUGAGAAGGUUGACAUUAUUUUUAUAGAUGAUGUAAUUUUUUGACUUUUCUCUUGAUUUAUUAUCUCUAAAUCAGUUAUAAUAGAUUGAAUUUUGACUUUUAUUGCAUUUUAUUUUUUGUAAUUUAUAGAGUAAAAAAUUAUUAAACAAAACUUAUAGUAUUUAUACUAUUAAUUAAAUAUAACUUUAGUAAAAUGAUUUUGGAAAGAAAAAUAAAAAAUAAGAGACAUGUAUUGAAAGAGUGGUAGUGAAGUGAGUAAGGAAAACUUGAAGCUUCCCUACGACCACAUGAUUCACCCAAUUAUUCUUUUAUACCAAAAAGUUUCAACAUUUUGGAAUUAAUGCUGUUUAGUACAUAAUAAAGUACUUUAUGAGAUGUUUUUCAAAGCAUAAAUUCGAUUUUGUGGGAAUAAUAACUUUCCCAUGUAAUGGCUUUAGCCAACUCUUAACAAAGAAAAAGAGAGCAUAAAUUCACUGUUUUUUCUUUGUUUAGUAUAAUUAUUUGAGUCGGUUGUUGGGAAGAAAUCUUUGAUCUAGAAAAGGAUAAUUUUUUUUAUAUAAUUGAAAUUUAAAAAUAAUAUAUAUAUAUAUAUAUAUAUAUUUUCUACAUCAAGUUAGGAAACUCAUUUUUUUGUAAAGAAUCUUUAUUAGAAAAGUCUACACUUUCUUACCAUUAUGGAAUUCAAAAGUUGAUUGAGUACAAAAUAUUCCUUGCACUCAUUUCACCCUAAAGUAAAAAAAAAAAGGUUUACUCUGUUAGGAGUAUGAAUUUGUCUUUGAUGCUUCAUAGUUUAUAUAUACAAACAUUAAAAAAUGAAAUAUAAUUCAUUUGAUAUUAUAUUGUUGAAAUGAUUUAUUAUACUAAUAAAUUAUAUAUAUAACUAGUUUGAACAAUAAGAUUAUACUAAUAAAUGACUAAUUAAUGUUAUAGUAACCUUUCAUUAGAGAGUUUAUUUUUUUAGAAAAAUUACUAUAUACUUUAAAGAGGAGGAAAAUAAUAUUUUACUUGACCUUAAUUUUAUAUUCAUUUUUUAUUGCACAUUGAUCUUUCUUUUUUGAAUUCAUUUUUACUUUUAGUUAAACACUUAUAUUAUAUAAAAUAUUCACUGCUAACAAUUUUUAUUUUAAAAUUAACAUAAGAAUAUAUUUAGGCAUUGUUAUUAGGUCUAUUAUGUUGAGGGAAAACUAUGUUUAUAAGAGUGUGUUAGAGAAUAUGUCAUUCAUUAUCCUAUUAUUAUAAAAUUACUUAUAAACCUAUUAAUUCCAUGUUCAAGCUUGUUCUGUUUUUUUUUUUUAUGUGAAAGAAAUAUCACAUAAACUGUAUUUGAUUAUUUUGAUCAUAUCAUUAUAAGAAAUUUCUAACACUAAUAAUCUUUUUAUUUUUUCUAAAUUCUUUUUGUUAUCCCUUUCCUAUAUUGUUGGCGAACCGAACCCUAUCGAAGAGGCUCGUGUCCGACGUUGAAUGGCGAUAAACUGAAAUCUGAGAUACUCUGUGUAAAUACAUUAUUAUGAGUUGCGAGUGGAAACAAAUCAUUGUAAAACGAGCUCUGAAGAAAUUAGUAAAAAGCUGCAAUAAUAAAGGAUUUUUGAUUGUAUAGUUGUGUUAUUGAGCCAUCAAAGAAGACAUAAAAAGCUGAUAAUAGAGAGUAUUAAAGAGCUACUACAAGGGUGGUGGGGGCAACACACCAAUCCAGAGAAAACUAUUCAUAUAAUAAUAUUUCUUCUCUUCAAAAACAACCUUCAUCCAUUGAAAUUCCAAUCCCCCAGCUCAUUUUUUCUUCAUGUGGACCCAAUUUAUAAUAAAAUUUUAUUUUCUUUGUCUUUUAUAAUGUCUGAACCAACCAUUUAGAGGAAGGAACAUGCUGACACAGGAAUCACAACCAUUUAGGAAACUGGUUGGUUUGCGUAACUUCAUGCAUAUAUACAUAAUCUGUCCUAUUAUUUGAUUUUAGGGACAAAACUUGUUUAUGUUACUUCUCUAUACAUUUAAGCUUUCACAGGUGCGUCUGACUGUGCUACUUCUGCAACUGUGGUCCUAAUAAUUAAUAUCAAGUGGAUCAAUUCAAAAAGGAAAGAAAGUUUUCAAAAUUACAUGUUUUCUUGAUUUUACCUACUUUAGCUUUAAUGAUUCAAAUGUUACUUAAUAAUUAUAAAAUGAGGUAAAAAAAAGUAUUUUAUAGGACACAGAUUAGUGUGUGUUUCAUGCUAGCUGGUUUCCAUGGAAACCCAAGAAAGAAAGAUUGUAUUGUAUCAAUUGAACAAUAAAGUGUCCUGUCCCCCCUGUAAUUGUUCUGCAACAAUAAGCACCAUCCAAUUGUCAUUGCUGUUAAUAACUGCUAAUAACGGUUUUCAUCCUCUCUCUUCGAAUGUAACUUACUAUGUUGUCGUUUCGUUGAAAAAAAAAAAAAUUGUUUUAGUCACGUUUUGUUGGGAAGGUAAAACAACAUUUCAACCUCCAAAUGUAUGUUAGAGUUGCAGAGUUAAUUGUCGUAUUAGAAACUUAGAACUCUCCUGAAAUUAUAUAGUCUAACGUGUCAAUGGUUUACACAUUGGGAAUCAAAAUAGUGUCUUACAAAUAUUAUAGGUGAAAAUCAAGAUAUUUCACUAUAUUGUGAUUUAGUUAUCUUCUUUUUUUUUUUCAAAAAUCAUGUAAAUACAAAUUAAAAAAGAGAGUAACAAACUAAAUUUAUUCAAGUUUGGCCCAACUAUGCACAAUCAACAAAAAGAUU